rnacentral:lncRNA from 1 species
GUAUUAUGUCAUGUGAGACACGUGUGUCUACUUGUUCAAUUUUAUAUAAGUUUAAGUGCCUACUUGUGCACACUUAAAGUUGGAGGAUAUAGUUAUUCGAUAAAGUCAAGUUAAGAGUCAUGUUUAUGUAUUAUGCUUAUUAAAUAUAAUAACAAUAACAUCUUCAAGACAUGAUGUAUGUAUUAUCACGUCAUCCCUUGAAUACCUAAAUAUCAAUAUUGGAAUUGUUUUUGUCCACAACCGUCAACGUCAUAUACAAAGUUAGGUGUCACGAAAUGAUAAGAAUUAAAUGUGUCCAAAAAAUCAAUUUUACGUGCUCUUUUGACAUGAUGAAAAUUAUUUUCUCAUCUCCGAUUAGUAUUUUUUCUACUUUGAUGAAACUAAUAUCUACUUACUUUAAUAAGUCAACUACAUUUGUCUAUUCUAUGAAACUUGCUCCUACCGGCACCAUUAAUUAGGAGUCCAAUUCCCUUUUAAUUAAUUACGACCACAUACUCAAAUCGAACACGCCAUUCAUAAUACACUACAACAAAAACCUAGAUUUUCCUUUUAGCGAUAAUAUUUAUUGUCAUAAAAAUAUUUAGUGGUAAUUGAAUUAAUGUUAUUACAUUCUAAGUUGCUAAAGUUUUUAACAAUAAUUAUAUAGAAUACUGGUUAUAAAUAUCCAUAUUAUAUUAUUACGCUAAAACAAUUAUUGCUAAAUCAUUUAUUUGUGUAAGUAAUAAAUAACUGAUUUUAGUCAAGAACAACUUUUAUCUAUGCUUAUUAAUUAGAGAUAAGUAAGAAUUUUCGUAGAAUAAAAGAGGGUACAAUUUAUAUAUACCUAAAUAAGUAAAUUUAGAAUCCAACACUCAUAAAUUCAAAAUCCAAGUUAAUUACGCCUCAGAUAGAAGGUAACAAGUAUAUUGUACUUAUGAUCAAUAGCUAACCCGAACACCAUCAUUAUAGAGAGUAUUACUCGAAGUUUGAACAUGUAAAAUUGCGGAAUGUAAUAUUUUACCUGUAUGGCCUGAUGAAGCUGCAACAUGUAGUGAAGUAGUGGACAUAUCAACUUCAAGCAUCAACAACAUGUGCAUAUUAUUAUUAAGUAAGAAAUGUUUAACCACUUCAAUCCUCCCUCUCUCACAUGCUACAUAAAGCACACUCUUAUCCCACAAAUUUGUCUUAUAAGCAAUCGAUGGAUCAUUCUCAACCAGAAUUCUCACAAUUUCUACUCUCCCUUCUCUACAUGCUUCAUGUAAGGGCGUCUCCUGAUCCCGAUUCUCCGCGGACACCAUCUCAGGGAACAACUUCACAAUCUCCCUCACCAAUUCAACAUGGCCAAGUCUAGCUGCAAGGUGCAAUAUGGUGUGUUGUAAUGAACCCUCAAUGGUUUGUCUUACUAUGUUGGAAUCUUCUUCAAUGAGUUUUUGAAUGGCUUCAACAUCUCCCCUGAAAACUGCUUCAUUCACCCGCCGCUCCAUUUUUUUUUAAUCAGUUAAAAGUGUGUGAUGGAAAAUUAAAUGUAGCUUUCAGAUUGCACAAUAUGUAUGUAUAUUUUUUGUUUAUCAUAGGGGACUCACUAUUUAUGCAAACUUUUAAGUCAUUUUUUUCCACAACUGCAGCAACCAAGAAGAUUCCUAGCUAAGGGACUUGUAUAGCGUGGUCUUUUUCCUUUCAUUUUCUUAUUAUAUAUAUAUAUAUAUACCAUAGAAAAAUUGUGGUGUACCGGAUGAAACUGCUCCUUCCUUAACUAGAUAUUUCAAGUUCAAGUUCAGAAUAUGAAAAAAUUCUUGGUAGACUUGAUCACCCGAAAUUAAAGGGACUCUAUAGUGAGGCUAUGUGGGUACCAAAACCAGAUAGAAAAACAAAAAACAAACAAACAUAUAUAAUAUAUAUAUAUAUAUAUAUAUAUAUAUGUGUGUGUGUGUGUGAGAGAGAGAGAGAGUCAUUUGUAUAACGAUAAGGGUAUAUAUGAGCUACUUCCAUAACGAGGAUUAUAUCAGCUUUAAAUGACAAAGUUAAGAGAUAUAUCAGGUCAUUUUCCCUAUAUAUAAAAUAUAUUGGCGGGCGGCUCAGCUUCUAGCAAAAUGGUGAAAGUCAAUAUUACUUGGAAUAGUUUUGUAUGGGUAGGUCGGCAGUGUAUAGAGUUACUAGGCCAAGUCAUUGGUUCGGGAUUGACUCGAUCGACUUAUUUAUAUUUUACCUCAUACUCAACUCGAUUAGAUUCAGAAAAAAAAAAAAGGCGAUUCAGGUUAACUUUAAUAAUUUGUUGAAAAAAUAUUAUUGAAUCGAAUCCACCUAUAAGGAAUGCUAGAUAACCCAUAAGUCUCUAUUAAUUAUUCUGUCACCCCAAAAGUUAGCUUAUAUAAACACCAUUUUGGAUAUAUAGUUUAAGUUUUAAUCUUAUUGUUACUACUUUAUUUAGGAUUAUGAAUGAAAUCUAAUAAAUUUAUGUUUUCUGUUUAUUUUUCGUAUAUUGUCCCUUAACGUAUCAAUUUAUAAUAAAUAUGUAACUUGUUAAAUAGUGAUAUAGAUCAUGGAUAAUGUUAAAGGAAUACUCAGGUCAUGAGUCAACGAUCAAAUAAAGUAGUAACAAUAAUCAUAACAACGCACAGUAAUUAAAUUAAAACAUCUGCUUGUAAGAAGAGUUGACAAUCACGCAUUUGUGAAGGCUAUAUCAUUAUUCCUUUAUUGAGUACAACACUUAUUAACAUAGUUAAGUAUUGCUUGAAAGUACCUUUUAGUCAAAAUUAAGUACAUAAUUUAGGAAUUUUGUAGGUACAACACUUAUUAUCUGUUUUUGUUUUGUUUAUAAGUACGGAAUAAUCUUUUUUAAGCGAUCAAUAUUUUUUGUUCGGGAGAGGUGAUUCAACUUCAGUUUAUCGCGGAUAUUAUCUUAUAUAUAGGAGGUAAUAAAUGACACCUAUUAAGGUAGGAGGUUAGUAAAUAAUUAUGUUGUCUAGCUUCUCUUUUCAUACUACUUUGUCAUGCUUUCUUCAUUUUCCAUUUUCUUUUAUGACUUCUUCGCUUCUUAUUUCUUUUUCCAAAUUAUUUUAAAAUGUUUUUACUUGAGCCGAUUGAGUCUAUCAAAAUAAUUUUUCUACCUUUUUAAAUAGAGAUAAAAUCAACUUAUACUUUAUAUAUUCUUCCAAAUUACUUAUAAGAUUACUCUAAAUAUAUUAAAAUUGUCGUGGUUGUAAACAAAGUGAAGUAGGAAAUAAAUGUGAAUCCGUUAGUAUCUAUAAUGCAUAAUGUAUUACUUAGAAAAUACCUCAUAAUUUCAACUAGGGAGACAUCAUUAUCAAUCUAGACGACAAUAUAACUGACCUCACCUCUUGCAUCAACAUUAUUUGUUCAUUAGUAAUCUUUACUUUUGCUGACUCCAAGGUCGUCCAUUACUUUUGUAUUGUUCCACCCAAAUCUUUGAGACGCCAAACAAUGACACAUAAUUUUGUAAUCAUUUAAAAUUUAUUGAAUAUAAAUUUAUAAAAUGAUUCGAAUUAUAUUAAAUUCAUGAAUAUAUUAGUCCAAAUAAAUAUUAUGGAUUAAUAUAAUUGAGUUGAUUAUUUAAGUCUAUUAAAUAUAGAUUUAAUUAAAGUCCAAAUUAAUUGAUUUGGGCUACAAUAAGCCAGUUUGCUAAGCCCAACUUCAUCUCAUCCUAGAGUCCCAUUUUCUCAGUGCCACGUGGCAAAUGACGUGGCAUGCCAAGUCAAACAAGAAGCCAAUAGGAUCAUGACAUGUGUCGAGGAUGACAAUCCCGCUCCAUAAAGCCCAUAUGUCAUGUCACUUAAAUCUGAUUGGCUGAAGGAAAUCCUAUUCCUAUCACAACUCCUCUAUUCUAAAACUAUAAAUAGGGGUCCUCAUAAUUCAGAAUAGAGGACCACGAAUUCGAACAAGAAGCUAGAGAAAGUCCGUGGAUCAAAAGCCACAAUUUCUCUACAAGCUGCAAGUUCAAGAAUUCAAGUGUUCAAGUUCAAGAUUUGAAGAAUUCAAGAUCAAGUUCAAGAUCAAAUUCAAGAACGAUCAAGAUCAAGACCACCGGAUUCAAGAUCAAGCUCGAAGCCCUUGAAUUCAACUAGAAAGUCAAUAUCAAGAUAAAGUUCAAGUCAAGAUCAAGUUCGAGAUCAAGAUCAGGAUCAAGAUGAAGUUAAAAUCCAAGUUCAUCAAAGAUUCAAGUUCAAGAGCCCUUGAAUUUAUAUUCGAAAAGGCGAAUUCAGAGGAAUCAUUGAGAUUGUAACACUUGCACUUUGAAAUAAUAAAACGAUUAUUGCAUAAAAAAAUGCUAAGAUAUAGUCGAUAGAGUAAAGGUCUUAACCAUACCUUAUUGAGAGACUAUUAUAGUUCUUGAAGUACUGCUUGCAUUGUCACACGAUUCAACCACGGGUGGGAUAGCAUCGUCUAAUACCCUUAAUCUCCUAAAAAAAACUUCUUUGGUUGAGGACUACGUCCUUUCCACACAUCUGUUGCACUGUUGAUUAACCACUACUGUUCUUACAACUUUAUAGCUGCACACCAUUGACUUGUUCUCUGCUUGAUUCCACUGCAGACCAGGUCCCUUUGCAACAUAGUUUAUUAAUUCAUCAAAACCAAGAAUACAACACCAAGCAACAUAUAGCUCUUUAGUGCAGAAACAUGUUGUGUUACACUCCUCAAAGUUAACACACUUCAAAUGAACCAUUUAUCUCUGGGAGAAACUUAUCGCUAAUAAUUUUGCACUAUGCUUAGCUUGUGGCCUGUUUGGUUUGCUGCUUUCCAUUUGUAGAUUCGUGUUUGUUGUCCUCAGGGGCGGACCCAUCUUAUACCAAGGGGUGUCAACCGACACUGCUUCGUUGAAAUUUUUUAAUAUAUAUACAUAUACAAAAAAUUGAAAAAAAAAAAAAACUACAAAUAUUAUUAAUGACACUCCUUGAACAAGUCAGCUCUUUGGCUCGUUGGUUUGCACAAAAUGGUUAUUCCUUUCAGCGCCUGUGAGUGUAUAUUCAUUUGCUAAUAAAGGACAUUACUUAGUUUUUCCUUUAUGAUUUAACAGUAGAAAUUGCCCUAGUAGUCAUGGUUUAUCUUUAUAAUUGGCUCUUAUAAGGACUUAUUUUGAGUUGAGUUUAUAUGACUCAAUGGUGAGAUGCAAUUGGGCAUGGAGAGUGUUUAACAAUAUUUAAAUAUAGUAAAGUAAAAGUGUAUUUGUUUUAUACCUAAAGAGAAAAAAAGACUAGUCUUAUAAGUGAUUUUGUUCUAUACGAGUAGAAGCACGAUAAUUUUAAUAUCCAAAACGAUUAUAGAUAAUCAUGAGGAUUUUCGUUUCCAUAAAUAAAAUAGUAACAUAAAAUAAUAAAAUUAAAUUCCUUAAACGGUUUGUUCAUUAUUCUUAAUCAGAAAAUAAAAAUCAGAACUUGGCAUAGAUAGAAAAAGUAAACAGUAAUUUUCAAACAAAAAAUAAAAUAAAAAUUAUCCCGAAGUCACAAAAUUCAUUUUCAUAUGUCCUUAAGUAAUUUAAUUCUCCCACCGUAUUUGAAGUAUACAAUUAUUUCCUCCCAAGUUAAAUCUGAUACCUUUGUAAGAAUAACAGUACUUCAAACUCCGACAACAUUCGAACACAAAAUUAAUGCAAGCUUUCGUUUGUGUGAAGGAUAACACCAAAUAGUCCUGAAAUUGGAUUAUAGUGUCAUAUAAUUUGUUGUUUGGUUGGUAAGAUCGGGAUAACUUAUUCCGAAAUUAAUAAUUAGUAUCGGAAUAAGUUAUUCCUCUCCUUGGGUGGUAUAGUAAUCCCGGAAUAACUUAUUCUGAAAUAAAAUAAGUAAAUGACAAAAUAUCCCUUUUUCACAUUCAUGAAUGACAUUUUUGUAAACAAAUAACUUGUUCUUAAACUUUAGGUAAUGCAUAUUAUUUUGAAUACAACAAAUCAAACACUUAAUAAUAAAUAAUCUAAACAAAACUUAUCCCAUCAUAACUAAUCUCAGCAUAACUUAUUCCAUCGUUACUAAUCUCAUCAUAAUUUUUAUUCAAACCAAACAUAAUAUUAUGACAAUGAUGACACGAGAAUUUACCUUCUUUUCAACUUGUUAAGCUAAUAUAAAAGUGUUUUUCUGUUUAUACCUAACAAACAAAAGUUCCUAUUUAUACCUAAUAAUUUUUCGAAAUUAUGUGUCAGUUUGAUUGUUUGGUGUCUCAAAAGAUUUGGGUGGAAUAAAACAAAAGUAAUGCACAACCUUGGAGUAACCAAAAGUAAAUAUUACUAAUGAACAAAUGUUGAUGCAAGAGGUGAAGUCAUAGUAGGCAUUGAAAUUUUGCGGACUCUACAAGACGUGUUCAAUUUGAAUUGGGAUUUUAGAAGGUGUGUUCAAUUUCAAUUAAAAUUCUUGGAGGUCACUCAACCCUAAACCCCAGUUUAUGCCUAUAUAAAGGGUACUAAAUUCCCUUAAAAGACAUCUUAAAAUAUCCCAUAAACUCUUGGGUAUUUUUAAAGAUCAAGAUCUCGAAUAUUCCACAAAAGUCAUGGAAUAUUCAUAUAGAGGUCAAAUCUAAAUCAUCCUAGUUCGAGAAAUACGCUACUAACGGCCCUCGAAUCAUGGAUAAAUCUUAGGAGAGUGGAAUCAAGGGAGGAACAGAAUUGUACCCGCGCUAUUUAUCAAUAAAGUUAUGUUUCUUCUUAUUUUAUUGUGAUUGCAAUUUAUUUUCUAUCACUUUAAAAUUUGUUGCAAACAAAUUGCGACACCUAGUGGGACCAAAUCUUCCCUUCAUCUCUUCUCUUAAAUCAAAUAUGAAAAUAUGAAGCUGCAAAGGUGAAAUAAUGAACACAUCAAGUCUCGUCUUUGAGUUUCAUCAAGUCUACACUCCGACAAGCCUUGAAGCAGGGGGCAUUUGUAGACAUUGGAAUUUUGCGAACUCUACAAGACGUGUUCAAUUUAAAUUGGGACUCUAGAAGGUGUGUUCAAUUUCAAUUAGAAUUCUUGGAGGUCACUCAACCCUAAACCCUAGUUUAUGCCUAUAUAAAGGGUACUAAAUCCCUUAAAAGACAUCUCAAAAUAUCACAUAAACUCUUGGAUAUUUUUAAAGAUCAAGAUCUCGAAUAUUCCAUAAAAGUCAUAGAAUAUUCAAAUAGAGGUCAAAUCUAAAUCAUAUUAGUUUGAGAAAUACGCAACUAACGGCCCUCGAAUCAUGGAUAAAUUUUAGGAGAGUAGAAUCAAGGGAGGAACAGAAUUGUACCCGCGCUAUUUAUCAAUAAAGUUAUGUUUCUUCUUAUUUUAUUGUGAUUGCAAUUUAUUUUCUGUCACUUUAAAAUUUGUUGCAAACAGUCAUAUAGAUUGUUGUCUAGAUAGAUAAUGAUGUCUCUAUAUGUGAAAAUAUGAGGUAUUUUCCAACUAAUACAUUAGAGAUACUAUUACUCCCUCCGUCUUAUUUUAUAUCAAUUAAUGUAAUGAUCCGAUCGGUUUUUUUAGAAAGUUUCGUGAAUUGACUGUUUUUCUCCUCCCGUGAUCGAUCCCGAAUCUUUUAUGAUUGAGUUUGAGAAGUUGGUUUUGAACUUUGAGUAAAAAGUUGAGAACUUUGUAAGUUUUGAGUUUGAAAACUUAAUAUUGUUAAGAAAGUGGUUUUUGGAGUCUUGGAUUUUCGAGUGUCGAAAUGGAAUUUCGUUGAUUCUAUCAAUCCCGAAAUGUUUGUCGGUUUCAGAUUCCGAGUCUUUUGAGGAUUUGAGGUCCUAAGUUGUGAAAAUGUGGAAAUUUGCCUUUGAAUUGACUUUGGUCAACAUUAGGGGUUUGGAUGCUCGAAUCGGAAUUCCGAGAGUUCUGUUGGAUUCAGAUGAUGAUUUUAGGCUUAGGUGAGAUCUUGGUUGUUUUUUAAGUGGUCCCGAGCUUGUUUUAGCCUUUUAGGUAUUGAAUUUGUUUCUUGUGGUUUUCACAGAUGUCAUGUCAAUGAGAGCUUGGAUUCAUGUUUUGACGGUUCCAUUGAGUCCAGAACAUCGAGUAUAAUUGACUUGCAUAUCUGAUUUAUGUGUACGGGAUUCCGAACGAAUUUUGAGGGUCCUUGCGAUGUUUGCUGGUGUCUACCGGCCUUGCUUUUGCGACCUUCGCAGAAGCGAGAGCCACUUCGCUUAAGCGAGCUCUGCAAAAGCGAAGAAGGCUUUGAUUUUGAAAUAGUCACACUUUCAAAGAUUUUAUGUUCGAGUUUGCUGUCAAAAUUUAAACUGUAACAACACAUAAAUUGAGAUAAUAACCUUCCUUUGUAAAAUAGAGUAGCACAAAGAAUAUACUUGUAUUGUAUAUAAAAGCUCAAAACUAAUUAUACCUGACUUGUUCUCUUUUCAAUGAUUAUUUAUCUACUUAAGCUUGGCAUUGAAGUAAAUGCUUUGAAUUAGAAAGGAUAUACAACAUUAGAUGUAGUUGAAGCAGAUGCAAGUAACUCUGGUGCUCUUACAAUCUUCCCUGCAUUACAAGAAGCCGGUGCCAAAAGAUAUGACCAAUUACCACCAAAUUUUCAAGACAUCCAACACGUAGUUGCAUCACCAAUUUUGGGAUCAUCAUGGACAAGAAGAAAAACUAGUAUUUUCACUCUCCAUCCUUAUCAUCUCAACAUUCGUAUUAUAAUAAUCAUCAUCAUCAAAGGAAGCACAAUAUCAAUAAUUAUCGCGGUACUAGGACAAAAAAUAUCAAGCUGCAAAGUGAAGGUCUAAGAAAUGCAAGAAAAACGAUAACAAUUGUUGCAGUACAAAUAGAAACCCUGACAUUUGCUGCUGGUGUUAAUCCUCCUGGUGGAUUUAAUCAAGCAAAUGGAAAAACAUUGUUGGGUAAAAAAAUCGCGUUUAAGGUGUUUUUGGUAUGUAACAUUGUGGAACUUUUCCUUUCCGUUGGAAUUGUUAAUGUCCUUGUUAGUGUUAUCCCAUUCAAGAGAAGAAUGAUGAUGAAACUAAUGGUGGCAACACACAAAGUAAUGUGGAUUUCAACAUUAUUUAUGGUAUCAACUUAUAUAGCUGCAAUAUGGUCAAUAUUUCCACAACGAAAUGGGGAUUAUUGGGUGCUAAGUGAAGUUGUGAUCAUAGGGGAAUGGUGCACUAUGGCUGUGUUUCUAAGUUUGGGGAUUUUGUUAGUGAGACAAUGGAAAAGGAAGAGUGAAUGGAGAAAAAAAGAGAGGAACAUCAUAAGAAGAUGAAAGAGGAAAGUCCAAAGAGUAACACAAGUAGAAUUGAAGAAAUGGAAGUAGUGAAGAAAGAAAGUCAUGAAGAUGGUAGCAACUCAUAUGUUGAUAGCUCAGAUCAAGGUUAUCAUUUGUAUUAAUUGUAUUGGGUAAAAAUAAAAAUAACUAGUUGUUUAAUUAUAGAAGGAAUCUAUUAGUUAUUUUUUAAAGCAAAUUUAACACUAGAUAGUGUCUAACGACCUUUUAUUAAAUAUAAAAAAUAUCAAUAGGGAUAAGUACAAGCAAUGGGGGGCUAGGCCUUACCUUACUAAUCCUAAUGAAGUACCUAACUUCUGCUACCUAACAAGCAUGAAGAAAAUAAUAGUGUAACGACCUGAUUUCGUCGUCAGGGAAAAGCCAAUGGGGAAAGAAUUGGGUCGAGAAAACUUUUGAGUAGUGACUUGGAAAUUCCUAGCCUAGUCCAGAUUUGGACGAAAUCUAAGUAAUGUGAGGUCUAGAGAAAUUUGGUAAUAAUGAGAGAUAUAAUAAAGAAUUUGAUGACAUUAAUGGAUUGCCAAGAUGUUAAGAAAAUCGUACGACUUUACGGAAUCAAUUCGGGCGAAUAGAACUCCCGAAACUGAUCUUAGCAUGAACGGGUAGUUUUUGAAUGUCAUGGGUUGAAGGUGUGUUGUGAAAUGGGGGUUUGCAACUCUAAUUUCGACGUUCUGUCUCCACGCAAGCUACCAGGGCGGGGCCGCUGUAGCGGGAUGGGGUCCGCUGUGGCGGGCCAGUCGCAACUUAAGUCGGGGAAAACCCCCAAUUUCAUUAUUUUCCUGCAAACUUCGUUCUUAAGAGUUAGGAGACAACCCAGGAUGAAUUCUUUAGAGUUUUCCACGACUUUUGGUGCUAAAGGUAAGGAUUUUACUCCCCUAAUCCAUUUUUCAUCCGUAGAACAUAAAUUCAUGGGUAAUUAUCGUUGAAGGAGGGUUUUGGCCUAAAGUUAAUAGUGGGAAAAAGCCCUAGCUGCAUCUUAGGAUCAUGGGUUUAGUCUUGGGUUAUUGGGUUGUUAUAAUCCGGAUAAUUAAACCUUAAUUUAUUGAUCCUUGCAUUAUAUUAAUUGUUUGUAGACCUAGAACAAGCGGAAUGAAUCUGGAAAGGGAAGAUUCAAGUGCCUUAGGGGGAUUUAAGCUUGGUUUCGAGGUAGGUGAUGGUUUUAUUUAAUGUUUGUGUGAUGUAUGUUAGUAAUUGCUUCAUUGUAAUGCAUGGAUGUAUGUGAAUAAAACACUAUUGAUCAAACCUAAUGUAAAUGAGUAUGAAUGAACCAUUGUAUGACAUGAAUUGAUUGUAUGAUUAUGAGAAUGUACAUUAUGAGUGUGAUUGUGAUUGUGGUUAUGUUGAUUGGAUCGGGUGUCACGUUCCGACACAUGUAUUGGAUUGAGUGUCACGUACCGACACACUAAUUGGGAUCAGGUGUCACAUUCUGACACAUACAUUAGAUCGGGUGUCACGUUCUGACACACUUAUUGAGAUCAAGUGUCACGUUCCGGCACACUAUUAGUUUGGGUAUGGGUUCCAUGAGAGGACCAUUGUGUUGUCAUAUCUAACUGUUGUUGAGAAUGCGGAACUGAACAUUGCUCCUGAAAUGAUAACUGUAUAUAUAUUUUGUAUGUGCGUGUUUACUAUGUUGUGACUGCUUAUAUAUAUAUUGUGCUUACUGGAAUAGUCGCAUGAUCUUACCAAUACAUUGUGGUUGUUUACUAAUACUGCAUUUGCUCUUUCUUUGUUGAGUGCAGGGCAUCUUCAAACGACUAUUGAUAGACCUUAGCUAGGAGAUCGAUGAUCGAGACCGGAUUUCAAGGAUGAGCCAGUUCUUUCAGGCUUCCAUGGAGUCCUUCAUUUUGCUUAGUCCAUUCUUUUCAGACUUAGACAUGUUUUAGUAGUUUGCUUAUGUUUGGUUGGGGUUAUACCCCUUUUCCUUAGACUUGUUGAACUUUAGAUGUUUUGGUACAAUGAUUUUUAGGUUCUAGGGGUUGUUUUCCGCAAUAGUUCAUUAGUUGUUUGUUAAAACUUUCGGAGUUUAUGGGAACUCUGUAUUAUCUAUUUAGUUAUUUAAACUUGCUUUCAUAGCUUUAAAUGUUUAGUUUUUGGCUAAGUUGCUUAGUUGGCUUAUAAUUAUGGUUCUCCCACCGGAGGGUUAGUGUGGGUAUCACUCAUGACGGUCUGGGUUGUGACAAACUUAGUAUCAGAGCCCUAGGUUCGUUGAACUCAUUAUACCAAAACGAGUCUAGUAGAGUCUUUUGGAACAGUACAAAGAUGUCUGUACUUUUCGUCGAGAGGCUAUAUGACUUUAGGAAAUCUCUUUAUUUCUACUCCUUUCAUGCUAUUACUUGAAUCAAAUUGGUAUAUGGGUGAUACAAAUUGGUAUAUUUCUUCCUUCAUUCGAUGGUCCGAACUAGAGCAACAUAAGUGGUAACACCAACACUAGCAAGAGAGGAUGUGUCCUUGAAAAUAAGCAUGUCAAUGUGGGCAUGUAAUGACUAGUUACCAACAUGAUUUUUUGGUUGAUUGUCAUGAGCUGUUUCAUAAAAGGGUUAAAGUAGAGUGAUUUGGUGUUGAGGUUAUGAUUUACCAGUUCAAGGGAGACACCAGUAUGUGGUAGUGGUCUCAUGUUGAGUGCCGACUAGUAAAUGCACUACUCAUGAUUUGGGAAACAUUUUGUAGCUUUCUUUAUGGAGAAGUAUAUGCCCUGAACUUUGAGGGAUAUAAAGAGAGAUGAGUUCCUGAAUAUAGAGCAACAUAAUAUAUUUGUUGCAGCCUAUAUGGUGAAAUUUUAUGUUUCAUCCAAAUAUGGUACUCCACUUUGCUUCAGUCAAAAAGAGUAAAUUUGUCGCUUUGUGAAGGGAUUAAGGUCAGAUUUGUAGAUUCAAACUUAUAGGUGACAACAUUCAAGAAGUUUUGGUAAGGGACGACUAGAUAAUGAAUGCCAUUACUUUGGAAAAUGCAUUUAGUAUUAUUGUCAUAACAUGUAUGGGUUGUUUAGCGAAUGAUGAAAUUAAGUUAUGCCAAUUGAGGUUAGAAGCUAUACUACGAUUUCAUGAAGUGAUUGUAUAUCAAAGAGGGUCAUGAUACGACUGCUCCAAUAGCAGCGAUGCUUACUUGGUUAAGUUAUUAAGUGUGUUAAAAUUGUGGAGAACCUGGGCAUAUGAUGAGAGAUUGUCCCUAUCCGCGCAUGUCUAACCCCGUGCCGCAGAAGGUCAAAGCAGUGGUACCAACGAGCAACAGUAGUAAUGGUAGAGGACGUCCAUGUAUAUCGUGUUUGUCCGGUUGUGUUUAUGGAUUUUCAGACUUGGGUUGAUUUGGUUAUUCUGGAUAUGACUGACUUUGAUAUAAUCUUAGGCAUGACUUAGUUGUCCCCCUAUUAUGAUGUGCUUAAUUGUAAUGCUAAGUCGGUAACUCUAGAGAUCCCAGGUAGGGAAAGGUUAGAGUGGGAAAGGGUGUACAAGCCUAAGCCAGCUAAGGUCAUAUCUUUCGUACGAGCUAGGAAACUGGUAGGGCAAGGGUGUUUGGCAUAAUUUGAUCAUAUUCAGGAUAUUGAUGUUGAGUCUCCUUCUAUUGAGUCUAUUGCUGUAGUGUCUGAAUUCAAGGAAGUGUUUCCUACCGAUUUGCCUGGUAUGCCUACAGAUAGAGAUAUAUAUUUCUGCAUUGACUUAGAACCUGGUACUCGCUCCAUUUCUAUUCCUCCUUAUCGCAUGACUCUGAUAGGAUUGAGAGAGCUUAAAGCUCAAAUCCAAGAGCUUCUUGAUAAAGGUUCAUCCGUCCUAGUGCUUUCCCGUGGGUUGCUCAUGUAUUGUUUGUUAAGAAGAAGGAUGGUAGUAUGAAGACAUAUAAUUUUAUCUUAAGCCAUAAGGGAGUGGAUUGAUACCGGAAUGACGAACUUAGGGAUAAAUAAAUUCCCAUGUAGUAUACUUGGGUGAAGGCAGUUGAAGAUUUUAGUAAGAAUAUGCGUAUAAAAUUUGGUUAGUCCUUUGAAUUUGAUGGGUAUACCUGAGUAUAAGGUGUCCUGUCGAUUAAAAGGUUGACUUUGUAGUGAUAGCCAGGGCUAACUGAGCAUAAUGGUAAUAAGAGUUUGUGAUGGGAUGCAACUGUAUAAUAAGAUUAUUGGUUAAGCGAAUUUUAUAUAUUAAUUAUGACUUGCGAGUAUCUAAGGUUGUGGUUUUCUAAUAUUUGGUAAGUAACAUGAUUGGAUGAAUAGUUUUAAGAUAUGGUGGGACACUACUCGAAUAGAAUUUAAAAGAGCUAAAGUCAUAAUGAAGGAAAAAAAUAGUGAGAUGUAGUAUAGCCUUUAGAGAAAGGCGAGAGAAAUAAUAAUUUAUUUGAUGGCAAGGGAUAAGGAGGUACCGUUCGAAUGGACUGAAAAAUGCGAGGAGAGCUUUCAAGAGCUCAAGACUCUUUUAACCACAACACCUAUUUUGGCACUAUCGGUGGAAGGUAAAGAUUUCAUUGUUUAUUGUGAUGCUUCACAUCCGAAUUUGGGUGCUGUGUUGAUGCAGGAUAAGAAUGUCAUAGCUUAUGCAUCGCAGCAGUUGAAGGUGCAUGAGCGAAAUUACCUAACACAUGAUUUGAAGUUGGCAGCGGUAGUGCUUGAUCUUAAGAUCUAGCGGCAUUACCUUUAUGGUGUCAAGUGUGAUGAUAAUUGCUUUGUUUUUAUUUUUGAGUUUGGUAAUGAAUACGAUUGAAUUUCUAGCGAAAGAUAUUGUAAGAUCGAUGGAGAUGCGAUCAAUGAUAAGCGAAGAAUCAUGAAUUCAUAAAAAUCUUUAAGGUAAAAGCUAAUGUUGAUAGAUAAGGGGAUUGUGUCAUAUGGUUGAAUUUACAAUUCAAAUAUUUCAUUGUAAGUCUAUAUUCGUGGUGAUAUAUUUUGCCAAGGUAUGAAACUGCAGGGUGAAAAAUGAUCAAUUGUAUCAGAUAUUAAGCACGUGAAAGGACUUACACCUGGUUUGAGUCGUAAAGCUUAUUACUUUUGAUUGUUGAAAUACCGAAGAAAAGUUUUCAUUUAAAAAGUGUUGGUUUAGAGUAAAGUAAAUGGUCCGAGUGUUUAUGAUGGUGGUUAAUAUUGAGAGUGUGGGAUCACUGGAAUGAUGUGAAGACUAUGUGGACUCAACUGAAUGGAAGUGGCUGGUAUCAGCUCUUCAGAGGAAAACCUUUAAUGUUAUUCGAUCUUUAUUCCGUAAAUUAUUUUGUGACCAUCUAUUUCAUUUUGUACAUGGUGGUGAGUAUGAUUCACUAGCUAUGCUCAAGUGUGUUUUCACUUUUGGUGGGCUAGUAGUGGAUCAGGUGUAUUGAUCUUGCAAUUGCUCUCUUGGUUGAGUGAGAUGAUUGGGAACACUUGGUUAAUUCAGAUGACACAAUUGGUGUUGUCUUGGAGUUGUUAAAGUAUUCCAGUGGUUCUAUAUGUACCACCUUGCUUAUGAGAAUUUAGAGAAGAGCUACCAUGCGUAUUUAUGGUUGUCCGACAAUCUUAUUAUUCAUCUAGUCGUUGAGGUCAUGCAUCGAUUAUGUGUGGUUGAAUGUGAGGAUCAUUGGGUCCAAUUCUACUGUUCUUAAGGGUAAUCUACCAUCACAAUUACUAAUCUAGCAUUUCGAUAGUGUUGUUAGAGGGUUUGUAUGCUUGGACAUAUCCCACGAUGAGUAUCUGCUGUCUAAAGAUCAAAUUUUUAUAACUUAAGCUCAUGGAAAUUUAUGUUAUGAGAUGGAGAUGUUGAUAAGAACUUUGAUUGUUUGGGUAUUAUAAGUGUGUGUUGGUUGGUUCAGUUCACCUCUAAUUUUACCGAGUAUUAAUUUAUGAUGUUAUCAUGGUUAUGUGAGAAAAGAUUCGUCCUGAUGAUUGUGUCAAGGUCUUCGAUAACAUGCAUUCAAGAUAAGAAUAAAAUCAACGUCAUGAUUUCAUGUGCAUUGUAUGGUGAGCUUUUAGAUCAAAAUUCAAUUGCAUCGCACUUUUGAUCUAGAACUUGGUUUGAAUGGUAUCGAAGCGAAAUCCUGAGUAAUGUUUGAUAUGGGAAAUGAUUGUAGGCCUUCUUUGACCAAUUGUGCUUUCAAAACCUACCAAAUGACAUUGAUCCCUAGUUUUCCCCACUUUGAGCCUGAAGCCUUUGUUUGGACAACCACAUCUUAUCCACUACCCCUUUUGAGUGCUUACAUGAACUAUCCCUCUCUUGGCCCAACCUUCUUGAGUACACCAAGAGUGUGCAAAUUAUAAGGAAGAUCCAUGUUUGAAGUUGCCAAAGGCAAAAGAUAUUAAGUUUUCCAAAUUCAAGGAAACAAAGAUGACUUCUAGAGAAGGAAUAAAAAAGAAAGAAAGAAAAAAGGUUGAAAGAAAUAAAGAAAGAUAAAAACACCUCUACAAGGCCAAUGAAAGACGGAAAGGAAAAUACUCCAAUAAAACAGGAGUAAAAUUCAAAACAAAAGGGUGAAAUAAAAAAAAAGCUUCAAGAAAUAAGGACUCAGAAGAAGUCGAAACAAAGGGAAAAAAAGGAAAAUCUCUAAAAAAUUAGAAUUCAAAAGACGUCGAAAAAUAGGGGGACAAUGAAGAGGAUCAGACGCCGAAGUUGUAUCAAGUGUCAAAAGCACAGAUUCUCUGUGACGCUCAAGAAGGAAUUAAGUCACUCUUAUCCCAAAUAUAUAUCCUACCCACCCAUAAGCCUACAUUACAAGCCAAUGACAAGCCCUACAUGAUCUUAUUCCAAAUGUUCUCACAUUAGUGGAGAUUUACAUAAGAGUCAAGCAUAUGGAAUCACAGUUGCAUGCAUUGGACAUUCUUGUGAGUGUAAGUGCACUUUGAAAAAUGUCCUCAAAUAAUAUGCUUCAAAUAUGUGUGAAAUAUGACUUUUCUUAAUGAGAGGGCAAUUGAAACAUGAGGAUUGGUACACUUCAAAACCUUUGUUUUAAGUAAGGUGAACAAAUCUUUUUGAUCCUGAAAUAUGUUUGAGGUACCAUUUGAAGCUGUACGAAUUACCUUGAAUUCAAUCUUAGUUAGAAAAGAAAAAAUAAAUAAGAAGGAGAGAUUUACUUGCAAUCUUAACUAUUGGUACUAAUUGUAGUCAAGAUUUGACUGUCUCAUCACAUUCUUUAUUUCUAAAAAAGAAAACAAAAAGUGAGCAAGCACCCAUUCUUUAAUAUUUUCCAAAACAUUAUUUUUUUAGAUUCAUUCCAUUAAAAAAAUUGCAUUUUCUUUUUGGGUUGUCCGUUGUAAAUCGUGACAUUAGGCUAACCUCGUAAGUGUGAGAUGCCUAUUUUACUUCAUUGGGUUGUCCGUCUAAAAAAUGUGACAUGUGAUUUGUCUCUAGGCUUUGAAUAUCACAAGAAAUAUAAUUUUCCUAUUUCAUCAUGUUCAUAUUGUACAUUUUCUACUGAUGAUGUUGUCUCAGAUUCUUUACAUCAUUCAUCAUCUACAGGAUUGGAACUACAUUUGACUUGAUUCCUGGCUCAACAGGAUAUGUAGACGCCACGACAGCACGGUCAUUUAUCCAGUGUGAUUUUCUUUUCUCCUUGUAAUAAAAACUGGAGCAAAAUUUUUGAGAAUAUCUCAAAAAUUCACAAUAAAGGUGCUAUCUUCAGCAAGUCAAUAUUGGAGAUCAUUUUGAGAUUUGCCAAAAGUUCUAACUGGGACAUAAUUUUUUAGGAUCUUCCUAAAAAAUUCCAACAAGUACUGUCAGAAGCUUGAUAGUCAACUUCAAAUGAUCCAUCAUCGCUUGUAGUUCAAAGUCAACUUGCAAAUCUCAAGUAUUGUCAUGGCGAGCCAACAACUCCUAGUACAAAUCUCCAAUAAGACAUGGAUCACAAUAAACACAAAAAGGUCAAGAGUAAAAUGUUGUUUGCUCACAUGUGUCAAAGUGAUCAAGCAUUUUGUACACAUUCUCUUUUAAAGUAUCUUUUCUCAAGGUUUCUUGACUAAGUCGCUUACUAAGGCAACAUUGUGUCUACUAAUUGUUCCUUUUCAAGUACGAGAACAGAUGAAAGAAUUGAGGGCGAUGACACUUUUAAGACAAAUCAACGAGCCAUCCACAUCGUUACAUUGGACAAUCACCGAGCCAUCCACCUCGUUACAGUGGACAAUCACUGAGCCAUCCACCUCAUUAUAGUUGGAAAAUCGAGUCACCCUCCUCGUUACAGUGGACAAAUCAAGUCAUCCACCUCAUUACCGUGGACAAUUAUCGAGCCAUCCACCUCAUUAUAGUUGGACAAUCACCGAGUCAUCCACCUCGUUACAGUGGAAAAUCAUGGAGUCAUCUAUCAUUUGCAUUUUUCAUUUACCGAGAGGGCCAUUGCAUUUUUUUUCAUUUGUCGAGAGGGCCAUUGCAUUUUUCAUCUGCCGAGAAGGUCAUUGCAUUUUUCAUUUUCCUAAGAGGGUCUUGUAUUUUUCAUUUGAUAAGAGGGCCAUUGCAUUUUCAUUCACCGAAAGGCCAUUGCAUUUAAGUCGCAUCUAUUCGGAGGUGAAUGAUGUGCACCCUAUUUAUUCCACGUUCAAGUCGGUGGAGACUUGUGUUGAAAGAUAUAGGUAUUUAAGUCGCAUCUAUUCGGAGUUGAAGGAUGUGCACCUUAUCUAUUCCGCGUUCAAGUCGGUGGAGACUUGUGUUGAAAAAUAUUUGCAUUUAAGUCGCAUUUAUUCGAAGGAGAAGGAUAUGCACCCUAUCUAUUCCACGUUCAAGUUGGUGGAGACUUGCGUUGAAAGAUAUUUGUAUUUAAGUCGCAUAUAUUUGGAGGUGAAGGAUGUGCACCAUAUUUAUUGCACGUUCAAGUUUUAGUCUUAUCAGGGACCGCUUCCUUUCCUUGACAUUCCAUCACAACUUGUUGAUAAUUCCACGGUACGGCCUUAGUAUCAUACACAAAUGACUGCCUUGGUGCUCCUAAUAUCUCAAUAGGUACUAAACCUCUUACCGUUAUAGCAGGAGAAGUAACAACCACAACAGUAUAAUUUUAUACGCUCUUCACAUGUACUAUAAACUUGGUUGGAUCAUCAUCACCGUUACCUACUCCAAUCAUAUUCACUGAGGCGCCAUUAUGGUUCGGGAGUGGAUUGUUAUUCACAUUUGGUGUCGGUUACCGUACUGUGAUUUGUUUCAUCUCAAUGAAAUCCCCAACCCUAUGCUUCAAUGCAUAACAACGAUCAGUAGAGUGUCCUUUAACCCUCGAAAGGUAUCCAUAUGUUUUAGAGGUAUCAAAACUUCUGGGUAAUCGAUCUGGAAUUCUACCUUCCACGGGAUACAAUAAGCCUGAUGCUUGCAACCUUUCAAACACAACACUCAGUGGCUCCCCCAAUGGUGUAAAAUUAUAGGAAGGUCUAUUUGAACGUGGUGCAGAUGGAUUGUUUUGAUGAUAGAAUUGUGGUGGUGGGGCUUGAUAGGUAUGUGGUUAUGGAUCUCGAUAUGUUGUUAGUGUGUGGUAGACAGGGUAUGAAAAUUGUGAUGGAUGAAGUUGGUAAUAUGAUGGAGAUUCACAGUAUGAAUGUGAGGGAUAUUGGAGGUAUUGUGAAUGGGGAGCACGAUGUUGAUGUUGUGAAGGUUGCUAAUGGUGAUAUGAAGUACCUCCCAGAACCAUUACCGCAAUAACUUCUUUUUCUUUUUUCGUUCCACUUUCAAGAGCACCAGUUUGGAGGGCCUUACUGGUAAACUGUAAUGCUUGCUAGACUUGUAAUUCUUCCACUCUUGAUGCCAUUUUUGAUCAUGUCUCCGACUUUGAUCACUUCAGCAAAAGAUUUUCCACCCAUUGUGAGCAUUCGUUCAUAAUACUCUGGUUCUUGUGCCUGAAUGAAAAAAGUGAUCAUUUCUACUUCCUCCAUGGGUAGGUGUACCCUAAAUGCUUCUUCCCUCCACCGUAUGGCAUAUUUUCAAAAUAAUUCAAUUGAUUUCUUCUUCAAUUUGGUGAUUGAAAUUCUGUCAGGAGCAAUCUCGACAUGAAACUUAUAGUGAUCCACAAAAGAAUUUGCCAAAUCAUCCCAAGUAAGCCAUUUUGUUGUAUCUUGAUUAGAGUACCACUCUAAAGCUUUCCCACUCAAGCUUUGAUUGAACAAUUUAAUCCUAAUCCCUUCAUUCUUCCCAACACCAAUCAAGUUUUUCAAAAUAGACUUUCAAGUGAAAGAAAGGAUUUCUAGAUCCAUCAAACUUUUCAAAUUUGGGAAUCUUGUAACCCGGUGGCAACUCUACCUCAGGAAAAGCACAUAACUCUUCAUAUCUUACACUUUGGUUACUAUCAAUCCCGCGCAAACUUCACAUAGCAUCUUCCAAAUUCUUGAGCUUCUUGUUUAUCAAUUCAUCACUAACUAACCUUGACUCCUUUUCAGCUUCAAUAUAAUGAUCAACAUCUGGACGACAUAGUUCAUGAAUUUGUGUCAUAGAUGGAGCUGUGGCAUUAGUAUAUACCGGUGGAACUAGUUGUGGAUUAAUAGCAUCAUUAGCCACCGAUAUGUACUGAGCCUUUGAAGGAGCGACAAUGAACAGAUGAGGAGCAUUUUGAGUAACUUGGUGGAUGGGUGGUGCAUUUUGAACGGGUUGAGAAGUGGUAAAAUAAUUCACUUGGUUAUGCUCAUCCAAAUUUGGAAAUAGAGGUGGCAUUGGCAUACUCUGACGAACCAGGAGAUGGAGUCAUAUCUAGUGGAGAUUGAGACAAUGACUUUUUCUAAAUCACCAUACGACUAAAUUCAGCAAUUCUUUGCUCUAAACGAGCAACGGUAUUUGGGGUUGUUUCUGAUUCUUUUGAAGUGGCGGGAUCACUUGUGAUGGGUAAAGUAAGAAUUGUAUCAGAUGAAGUGGUUGCAUUAGUCAAAUUUUGCUCCAUUUUAGAACGAAUCUUUUUUGUUGCCUAGGUGAUAAGUAGUGAGUCUGCAACUGAUUUCUUGACUUUGGACAGUGUGAAGUAUGAAUGCUUCGCCAGUUCCCCUUUUAGCACAAGUCAACCUUUUUUAUUUUGAAAAAUAUAUUUUUAAAUAACAAAAACGAAAAAGAAGAAAAAAAGAAAAAUAAACACAAGUUAGUAUGUGAUAAAGAUAUAAUGUUGCAAAAUAAACACGUUGUAACACAUAGAAUAAACAUAUUAUUGUGUUUUAUAUGCAAGGGGACCUCUUUGAGCCAGAGGUAGGCCUAACGAAUAUUUGAAGGACAACCAUGUCUUUUAUGUAUCAUUCCAAACUCUCCAUAACUUAAGCUUUUACAAUAAAAUGGAAAAUAAAAUGUAUACAUUGAAAUUUCCAAUUACAUGUUGAAAAUGAAAUAAGUACAAAGUUAAUUUUUUUUCACUAAUCCUCUUUAUCGCCUCGGCAUGUUAACCACCAAUCAAAAAAUCAUAUAGUUACCUGCAAGAAAAUGUUAGUUUUUUUUCUUUAAUAAAUAUCUAUCUAUAUAGAGUAAUAGGUCCACAUAAUCGGCAUAUUUAUCCUUCAAAUGAUGCACAUAAAGUAUGAUAAUUGUCACUUAGGGUCGUAUGAUGAGUCCACUAUUUGGACUCAUUUAGGGCUUUAUUUUAAUACAUUUAGUAUCCUCGAAUGCAUAUUUUGUCUAAAUAACUGAUGUAAAUCCUUGAAUUUCAGGUAUUUGGACUUAGAGACAAAGCAUGGACGCUAUUGAGCAAAAAGGAACGAGUCACCUAAAAGAACGAAGAAAAGAAGGCUUGAGGAUCGCCUAAACCAUUGGGUGAGUUGUCGAAUGGCCUUGGUCUCACCUAAUGUUCCAGUGUGCCAGGCCUUGAAGGAGAAAUUCAAGUCGGCGAUAAAAAGGAGCAGUCGAGGAGUCGCCGAAUGGUUCUGAGAUGCAGUGUCAUAUUUCCCAAAGUUAUAGAGCUUGAAGUGCUGAAGGCCAAAGCGAAAAAGGCGAUAGGAAUGAUCAAAGGGCAGAUCGCCGAGUGGAUCGGCGAUCCCAACUUAUUUUGCCGAAUGGUCCUUCGCAAUACAUUGUUUAACAACUAGAAAUACAUGUUUGAAUUUUUAGUUUAGUAUGCAAUUUUCAAUCUAUUAAUUUUAGUAUCAAUUUUUGAGUAAGAAGCUUAGAACUGAAUAGAAAGACAAUUUUUCCUUAGCUUUGAAGAUUUGAAGAUUUCCAUUUCUAAGAAAUUGGAAGUGGGUGUUGAAGAUUCUUCACCUUAGACCUUUGUAAAGAAUAUAUCAAUUCUACCUAGUUGAUGGAAACACAACUUGGUAACGAUUUUUACCUUUAUACUAUGUCUAGCUAAAACCCCAAUUUUUGGGGUGUGAUUAUGUGAUUAUGGGUUGAUUUAACUGUUGGGUAUUGUUAAUCGAUAGUUUAUUUGCUGUUUAAAAGUGAUUUCGUUCAGUAAUUGUGGUUGAAUUUAAUGGGUUGUAAUUGCCAAUACAAUCUUAACUUCGUGUUUUUCGCUUGAACGAGAGAGAGGUUUGAAAACCAAAAUUACUGAAUCGAUGGUUUGUAGGUAUCGGGUUGUCAUGGGUUCAGCUUGAGAGAGUGAACCCUAAACCCUUUUCCACAUAUUCAACUCGAGAGAGUAAAUGGACUAAAGCGAAGGCUGUGCUUCAUUGCUGCUUAUUGGUGUUCAAGAGAAACCAAUUUGAUUCGAGGUAAAUUGUUUGAGAGAAAGUUUACCCCCACUAAAGUCUAGCUUAUUCACUGAUUUGUAGUUGUUUACUAUUAAAUGCAAUUACCUGAUUGUUUAACUUAGCCCAUAAUCCAAUCACAUUCUAAGAAUUCCGUCUCUAUAAUCGUAUCUUUGUGUUAUUUACUGUUUUAGUCUAUAAUCGAAUACAAAAUCCCCUUAUGAUAUUUGACACUUGUGUCAACUAUGAUUUAAACCAUGUUUUUCCUUGUAAAUGUUUUUAGUAAUGAUUGAUUAGAGCAUAUUCUUACUUGCCUAUUGAUUCUCGAUUACGAACAACUCCCUUGGAACUCGACCCCAACUCACUAGUUGAGUUAUAUUACUAAUGAAUAAUCAUUGAUGCUUAGUAUUGGAUGAAGCAUCUUUGAUAGUGUUCUAUAAAAAUGGUGCCGCUAUCAGGGAGUGGUGUUACUUGAGAAUUUUUAGUUACGUUGAAUUUUUGUUCUUGUUAGUCAUAGUUCUACUUACUUGACUUUUAGUUUUGUUUUGUGUGUUUGUGUGUUAAAACAUGAAGUAUGAGUGUGAACGACAACAGUGACAGCCAAGUAAGCCAUCAAGAUGACAUCGGAAAGCUCAACGAUGUCAACUAGCCUUAUGCUAAUGACCCCCAUCUCAUGGGCGGUAUUUGUGUCAUUUGCUUGCCUUCAGCUGAAGGGAAUGUCGUGUUUCACAUCACGAGUACUAUGUUGCAACUCUUGCAACUAAAGGGGCUUUCUAGUGGUUUGGCUCAUGAGGACCCUCACGAGCACAUUAGAAACUUCAUGGAUAUGUGCGGACCAUUCUCCUUCAAGAAUAUCUCCCAAGAAUCGGUCCGGUUAAGGUUGUUCCCGUUCGCUUUGAUGGGAGAAGCAUGCAAGUGGCUGGCUGAAUUGCCACGUGAAUCAAUCAUUUCAUGGGAGGAGUUGGUUACCACAUUUAAUGUGCGAUUUUUCCCUCCUUCGAAGAUGAUGACUCUUCGGGAUAGCAUUCAGAGCUUCAAGAGUCUAGAAGGCAAGCCAAUUCAUGAAACUUGGUUGUGAUUUAAAAAGUUGGUGCUUCAAUGCCUAACCCAUGGCUUGUCUAAUAACGUGUUGCUGCAGUAUUUUUACCGGAGUCGCAACUCGAUAAAUAAGGGUGUUGUUGACCAACUUUCUUCAGGAGGUUUGAUGCAACAACCUUAUGUGAUAGCGGCUCAGCUCUUGGAUGCCAUGACUACCAUAAACAGGGCGUGGUACACCCCUGAAAACUAGGUCUCCCUUCUCACGUUCAAGUUGACGAAGGAACAUAUGAAGAAGGACCAAGAGAGGGACCAGAACAUAGCCAAGAUCAUGACAUAACUUGACAUUUUAUCUAAAAAUGGCAUGGGAGUUGGUGCUCGAAGUGUCAAUGUCGUGGGUGUCGGGUGUGCUAAUCUGGAUGAGUCCAAGUUUGAGGCCUUGUAUAAUGAAGAGGUGAAUUUCCUAGCCAACCAAGAUGGUGGUUAUUCUUCAUAAUACCCGAGUCAGGGUGGUAACUAAGGUUGGAGUAGGGAAGAAGGUUGGAAAGAUUGAGAUCGUGAAUGGAGGGACCAUAAUCCAAAUUGGAAGGAUAGGGAGAAGGAUAGGUAUGUGCUUCCCCACGAGCGCCAACUGCCGAAGGAUUCGGAAGGUAGUAGGUCUGAGGAUAUGCUUUCUCGUAUCCUUAACAAAGAUUAGGGGUCAGACAAGAUCUUGAAAGAGAUGAAAGAAAACGUGUCGACCCAUAGCCAGACCGUUACCUCACAUUAAGUGUCGAUCAAGCAGUUGGAGACCCAAAUGGGUCAUAUCUCGUCUCACCUAAAUCUGAGACAGCAAUAGGGGUUGCCUAGUGACACUAUGGUCAACCCCAAGAAUGAAGUUUGAAGGUGGAUUUGCGUCGUGCCAUGACGUUAACUAAGGCGCUGCUUGAGAGGCAACCCAAGACCCUUUAUUGCUUUAAUUUUGUUUUGGUAAAUAAUAGUGUAUUGAUUGUGGAGGACAAAGUGCGGAAAGUGAUUGAAAAGUACAGGUUGGCGAGCAAAUGGUCCAGUCGGUGCAUCGUCGAAGAACUCGGUGACCCCGACACAGACCGAUGUUGGAUUUAAGAUAAUUUCAAAGUAGAGUCUGUAAUACUCGGCAAGCCCAGGAAAUUAUUAAGAGUCGCCGACCAGGUCGGCAAUCGGGAUCUAUACCGCCGUUUGGACCCCCAAAUCAACUAAGAGCCCUGUAAAACUCAGUGAGGUAAGUGACCAUUAGGUGUGUCAACGAGUGGGUCGGCGAGCAUGACUAAUGUCGUCGAAUGAGCAAGAACUGGACGGUUUUUAUAAGGCCAAAGGUUUAAAUUUUCAAAAUCUUUACUUUCCCUCACUUUAAAUCUUCACAACCUCACACCUGCACCUUAGUUUAUAUAUUUUCGCAUUUCGAGAAGUAUUUUAGUUGUUGAUUAGUGCUCGGAGUUGGAUUACAUUGCCACCUAGCAUUUCAAUCUUAUUUUUUAUAUAUCGGCAUUAAAGGUUAGUUUUCCAAACUCCGUAUUUACUUUUGGCAUUUGUACUCUUAUGCAAUCGAUAUUAUCUUGUUGAAGUGUGCUGGCCUCUUUGAGCUUAAUUGUUGUUUGAUUGCCUGUUUUUAAUUUGAUACCCGUGCCCGUAUUGUUUUGAUUGUGAAAUCCCUUAUUCUUGUGCUUUGAAAUGAAUUAAAAUUUAUGGGGUUGUACUUGCAUGUUUAGUUUAGUUGGGUGAAGUCUGAGUAGCCCGUAUUUGUGCCAAGCGACGCAAUUUUCCCAAUGAUAGAACGGAUGACAUCUUUUUUAAGAGCAAAAGUCGUCAAUUGGCUAAAUUUGGCAAAAUCGGGAGAAGUCAAAGUAUUUCGGGGUAAUGGGUGCUAUGGGUCUAGUCUUAAUUUGAGUUGUGCAUGCUUUGAUUUUAUUUUCGGAGGUUGCGGGGAUGAAUUCGAGAAGUUGGGUUGAAAGAGGCACGUUGGGUCGUUUGGUGAGCUGGGUCGAGCUCGCCGAACCACUUGGCGGUUCACCAAAAAUCUCGAUCUCGCCUUUAAUUUCAUGCUUUAAUUAUUGUUGAACUCUGUAACUUUUGGUGAGAAGUCUGAGGUCACUGAAGGCACUCGAUGACUUGUCGUAAGUCUUCUUGAUCACCAUUUGUCUGCACCCCUGAACCCUUUUUGCACUGUAACUUCCAGCGGUCUAACCCUUGCUCGCCAAAAGCUAUCGGCGAUUCACCAAAAGGCAUUUCCCACGGCCGACUUGCCAAAAGUUAAGAGCCAUUCCUUUCAGCGAGCUAGAUUUGUCUCACCAAAGUGAUUCGGCGACACGCUGACUGGAUCGACGAGUGUGUCUGCAACUGGUUUUCUGUGCUUUUGAUUAAAUUUUUUAUAACUUUUUCUCGAUGCUUUACAGACAUGGCUAGACCAAAAGUUGCUGGGAGAAUCAUGCCACCUCGAAAGAUAAGAGCAUGAAAUUUCAAAAUAAAUGAAGAGAGGUCAAAUCUCCCUAAGAAGGGAAGACAAGAACCUCCACUUGGAGAUAAAGGCAAGGACAAUAAGCCUAUUUCUGACAGAAAGACUGCUCUCGAGGCCCAUAUAUUCCUUCAGGGGUUCCGAGAUUCUAUGCAACUGUGUAAACCUUUUUGGCUGCUACACCUUUGGUAGGGCCUUGUGGGUCUAGCACUAUUGUCCCUUCUUAGGUGACUCCGGACACUGAUGCCCAAGUUCAGAUUGAUGCUCCAGGCAUUGAUGCCUAGACAGAUGGAGCGACUGUUUAGACAUGAUCCCUUUUUACCUCCCUCUCUGUCUUAUCUUUAUUUGACUUUUGGAUAUUUUAUUGUUUGCAUUUGAGGACAAAUUACUUUUGUUUUGUGGUGAGGGUGAGGCCCACCUUUUGUGAUGAUUGUUUUGUGUAUAUAUAUGGGUUUUUGAGCUAUAAAUUGUGUUUAGCACUGUUUUUGUGGAUGAUUGAGCUUGUGGCUCCUUACUUUAAUUGCAAAUGACUUUUGAGGACCCUUCCAAAAAAUUUGUGCCACCUUUUGUUUGUGUUUGAAUGUGGAUGUUCUCUUGCAAUUUGAGUAUCGGUCUUGAUCAAUACCGAUGACUUGAAUAGUUCUCAUAAUAGAACAAAAAUGAAUGUGCGGCAACGGUGAGGCCAAAUGAAAUUGCAUAGGCAAUAUGUGAAAUUUUUGCAUCUCGUUGUGACUAGUCAAUUACCAAAUUGAGUCUCUUAUGAUGAACAUUGCACAGUAGCUAGAGUGUGGAGUCUUGUUUGACGUUGGUGUAAAUGUCUUGUGUGUGAUGAGCUUACCGUGAACCAUGUAUGAUGACACCUAGAAUUUGCCCCGUUAGUUCGGUUGAUUAAGUGAUGCAAUCUCUUGAGAUGAUCUUAGGCAUCUUUGAAGAGUGUGAAAUAAUUUGACAUUAUACCUCUUUUGUGGCCAACCUUGUGAGUGUGCGAUCCUUGCUUGAACACCCACUGAUCCUUAUCCUUUUCUUGGAAAGAACUUGAUGAAAUUUUGACCUUUCUUUAUCCAUUACCCAUAAUCCUCAUGAUUUGUGGUUUGUGUAAAUAGCCAACUUAGGCAAAAAGCCUAAGUUGGGGGUGUGGUGAAAAUAGAAGGUAAAUCAAGAAAUGCAAAGAAAUCCCCUUGAAUCAUGAUUUGAGAAAAAUGGAACCCCUCCAUACAAAAAAAAAAGAGAAAAAGAAAAGAAAAGAAAAAGAAUGAACAAGUUGUGAAAUAAAAUUGUGAAAGUGCAAAGAAAAUGGGGUAUCCAACAUGUCCAUGGAAAGUGAAUAAUGGAGCGACUUUUGAGCAUGAAUGAGAAUGAUGAAGGAAAAGGAAGGAAGUGUUAUUCAUACCACAUAUCAUGAGGAUAGCAGCCACUGAGCCUAAAUGACCAUACCUUUGCACUCAGCCCCGUUACAUACCUUGAAAAGACCUCUUUGAUCUUGAGUGAACUGAAACAAUUGUUGAUUGGAAAAUAUGGGCAAACCUAUGAGUGAAAUCAUGCAUUGUGUUCAUCUUUGUGAGUGUGAGCAUUGCAUUAGAUUUCGGAGCUUUAAAUUGUAAACCGUUGUGUGUGAUUAUGGAAUCGUUGUUUGUGUGAGGGCAUUAAGUACCAUUGUUAAGCUUGAACUUGCAUUUGAAGCGCGUAUUGUGAACUUGAGAAUUUUUCAUAAUGGUGAGUCACAACUUGAAUCUUUGAGUGCACAAUUGAUCCUUGCAUGAGUAAGUUGAGUCUUUUUGUGUGCAUUUAUGUUUGAGUCUUGUGUAGCACUGUUUGAGACAUCAUUUUGAACUGCUGAACUUGAGUUUUACUUGAGGACAAGCAAAAGUUUAAGUUGGGGGUGUUGAUGAGUCCACGAUUUGGACUCAUUUAAGGGUUUAUUUUAAUUAGGAUUUAGUGUCCUCAAAUGCAUAUUUUGUCUCAAUAACUGAUGUAAAUCCUUGAAUUUCAGGUAUUUGGACAUAGGGACAAAGCAUGGACACUAUUGAGCAAAAAGGAACGAGAUAGCUGAAAAAACGAAGCAAAAAAGUCUUGAGGAUCGCCUAAACCAUUGGGCGAGUCGCCAAAUGGCCUUGGUCUCACCUAAUGUUCCAGUAUGCCAGUCCCUAAAGGAGAAAAUCAAGUCGGCGAUAGAAAGGAGCAGUCGGUGAGUCGCCGAACGGUUCCACGAUGUAGUGUCAUAUCGCCCAAAGUUACAGAGCUUGAAGUGCUGAAGGCCAAAGCCAAAAGGCGGUAGGAAUGAUCAAAGGGCGAAUCGCCGAGUGGAUCGGCGAUCCCAACUUAUUGCGCCGAAUGGUCCUUCGCAACACAUUUUUUGACAACUAUAAAUACAUGUUUGAAUUUUUAGUUUAGUAUGUAAUUUUCAAUCUAUUAAUUUUAGUAUCAGUUUUUGAGUAAGAAGCUUAGAACUGAAUAGAGAGACAAUUUUUCCUUAGCUUUGAAUAUUUGAAGAUUUCCAUUUCUAAGAAAUCGGAAGUGGGUGAUGAAGAUUAUUCACCUUAGACCUUUGUAAAGACUAUAUCAAUCCUACCCAGUUGAUGGAAAUACAACUUGGUAACGAUUUUUAUCUUUUUACUAUGUCUAGCUAAAACCCCAACUUUUGGGGUGUGAUUAUGUGAUUAUGGGUUGAUUUAACUGCUGGAUAGUGUUAAUCAAUAGUUUAUUUGCUGUUUAAAAGUGAUUUCGUUCUGUAAUUGUGGUUGAAUUUAAUGGGUUGUAGUUGCAAAUACAAUCUUAAUUUCGUAUUUUUGAAUUGCUGAGAAAGAGGUUUUAAAACCAAAAUUACUGAAUCGAUGGUUUGUGGGUAUCGGGUUGUCGCGGGUUCAUCUCGAGAGAGUGAAUGGACUACAGCGAAGGUUGUGCUUCAUUAUUGCUUAUUGGUGUUCGAGAGAAACCAAUUUGAUUCGGGGUAAAUUGUUCGAGAAAAAGUUUACCUCAACUAAAGUCUAGCUUAUUCACUGAUUUGCAACUGUUUACUAUUAAUUACAAUUACUCGAUUGUUUAACUUAUCCCAUAAUCCAAUCACUUCCUAAGAAUCCCGUCUCUAUAUUCGUGUCUUUGUGUUAUUUACUAUUUUAGUUGAUAAUUGAAUACAAAACCCCCUUUUGAUAUUUGACACUUGUGUGUCACCUAUAAUUUAAACCAUGUUUUUCAUCGUAAAUGUUUUUAGCUAUGAUUGAUUAGAGCAUAUUCUUACUUGCCUAUUGAUUCUCUAUUACGAACCACUCCCUUGGGACUCGACUCCAACUCACUAGUUGGGUUAUAUUACUACUGAACGAUCGCUGAUGCUUAGUAUUAGAUGAAAUAUCUUUGAUAAUGUUCUGUCAUCGUAGACCUGUUAGGACAUUUGGUAAGGUUGACUAGUGAACAUAAUACACCAAAGAUAUUAAUUUUCCUAGGUUGAAAUGCUGCAUGUUUCUUACAACGUUUUGAUUUAGCUCUAACUUGAGUGGAUUAAGAGUGGGUUGACUAGACACAACGUUCCCGAGUAGACAACUCGAGUGAGAAGGCUACGCGGUCGCACAGAAAUAAAUUCGAAUAUGACAAAUGCCAACUCUCCUAAUUUUGGGAUUUUGAAAGAAAUUUGCGGGUGCGCAAAACACACCUCACGUGUAUGUGUGAUAGUGUGAAUUUUCCAGAAUUUGGAGAAAAUAUGAACGAAAUGACAAUUUAUAUAAAACAAUAACAAAUAAAUAAUGAAUACAAGAAAUGUCAAAUAAACAGUUUAUAUCACGUAAACAAUUCAUAUCACAUAAACACGAUAAAUAGAAUAUCAAGCAAAUAAGAUAAAACAAAUAAAUAUAUAAAACCUUAAAAACUAACAUAAGUCUAGUAUGGUUAGAACCUAAGUCCCCAGUGAAGUCGCCAAGUUGUUUUACCCCAUUUUAAUCGAAAUCAAAUUAGUGUACAAUAUAUUGGUGAUUUCUAAAUUAAUUAACUUAAGAAAUCGCCACCUAACUAUUAAAGGAUGAGUUAGGACACAUAAUUUUUUAAUUGACUUCAUUUUAAAGUCUUCUAACCAAUUAGAGAUUCUAAGAUAAGGGUUCAAUUAAUCCUAAAGGGAAGGAGUAAGGCAUCCUUUAAGAUCCGUAUUAAAACGAUGAACCGAUCAAAAUUAAAGUAAAUAAUUGAAGUUUUAAAGGUUGUGAAAGAUAUGAAUAUUUCAUAAGCAAAACAAGCUAAUAUAUAUAAUAUAAUAUAAUACAGUAUGAAGAAUAAUAUAGAUAACCAUAGAAAAUUAGCCUUAAGUUUAUUUAAAGAAAAAAUAGUAGUUAUAUUUUUAAAGAAAGGAAAUAUUUAAAAAGAUAGUGUAAAGUGUCUACUCAAUAACGUCUUUGCAUUAAAAGGGAUACCACUUUAAAAAAUCAUUUAUUUUCAAUUUGGAAGAUGUUUUCCACAAGUUUAAAUCACUUAAUUUUUUUUAUUCGAAAGAAGUUUUGUGAAAUAAGCAUGACGACUUCGUUAAGACUCAAAACAAAACAAUUUAUUUUAAGUGAAAUCAACUUAUUUUAUAUUAUUUAAAGGAUCUCAUAUCAACUAUGUGUUUCUAAGUAUCUAAGGCCAAGAAUAAAAAAAAUCCCCAAACUUGAAAUAUACCCCAAAACACAUACAUAAACAAAUAGUCACAAAGAGUUAAAUAGGAGAAAAUGACAAAAGGAAAAAUACUAAUAAUGAAGUAAGACGUCAUAGGCGUUCCCCAAGCAAUUCUUGCUUGUUUUUCUCGUUGUCGGACACGUUUAAAGAAGAUUUAAUUGGAGGAUAUUAUGCGGGUAUGGAGAGUCUUGCAUCAAGACUCCAUGUAUUGCUCCAAAGUGUUCAUGCAAAUAAAAAAGAAUAAAAAGAUUAGUAAGACAAUUUAACUUCUCAUGAUAGUAAAUAAAUAUAGUAAUGAAUAAAACUAUAUAACAAAUAUGUUAUCCCAAACACGGAAUAUACAAACACCAAAUGAAAUACUCACCGACUUACCAACAAAAUUCGAAAUAGCUAAAUUAUAAAACAUAUCUCUUACUCACCAAAACUAAUACCCAAUAUUAUUCAAUUUAAAUUAUAAAAACAGAUUACUUUCCUAAAUAAAAAUGAAAUCAAAUCAAGACAUUUUGAGAUUUACACAGGUCAAUUAUUUCAAGCUUACAAGAAAACUUAUACACAUAUAUAUGCUAACCGAAUAGAAGAAGAAGUUUUAAUACACAUUUGUGAUGAGUUUAAUUAGAGACCCAUUUAAACAUCAUAUGACUUAAACAUGGAGGUUCUAAAAAUAGACAUUAAAAAAUACAAAUAAACUUUCAACGGAAAAAAGACUCCCUGCUAUCUAAUAUACCAAAACUAAUCUCAAAUUUUGAGUGAGCCAAUAUACUAAUUUCAAAUUUUGAGUGAAAAAAUAUAAAGUAAAGUAACAAAUAUAUUUAGUGUGUGUUUAAGAAAUACUAUCUUCAAGAUCAACAUUUCAGUCAUUCCAAAGCGGUAACUCAGCAUAUACGAUAUGCAGUAAGAAUAAGAAAAAUUACAGACGAGUCUUAAGAGAAAUUAAACAUAUCUUAACAAACACAUUAGUCGAGUUUCAACAUAUUUCAACUCAACAGAGAUCUAAACUUGUUCACAUAUAUUUUUAUAUAUCAUAGCAAUACCAAAACUAUAUUAUCACUUUCAGCCCAAUGAAAUGAACAUAAUAUAUGAUUUAAUAGUUAAACACAAUGUAAGAAAACGAAAGAAAUGAACAUAAUUAUAAUCGGAGAAUUACCUUCCACGGAGCAGUGAAGAUGGAGCGUUUGAGGUUUAGAUCCACAACUCUUUUACCGAUAAUAAAACGAGAUUAUAACUUGUAUAAGUUAAGAUCUAAGAGCAAGAGAAAAAUGAAUUUUUUAGACUCCAAAAUUUGGUCCUUGCUCAAGAAACGGGGCUGUAUUUAUAUAUGAAAACAACUUUGAUUUGAGCGGGAUUUUAAGUCGUUUUGAAAUUUGAAAAGGUUGCUUCAAGUUCAUCCAAAAAUGUGGCAGAGAACCAUUGAAAAAUAUAGUGUUUCUUCACGUGACUUCGCUGGAAAAUGGUAAAGUUUUGACUAUACUUUUGAUAUAGACAAUUUUGAAGCAUGAAAAGGGGAAAAAAAGAAGAUAGAGACACGUCUAAUGUUUUCCAAGUUUGCACGAAAAUGGUGACAAAAGCUCCUACCAAUGGUGAAAAAGUUCAAAAGAUUUACUGGAAAGGGAAAAAGAGAGGAGCGACGCAUAUCAUAAAUUUAGCUUCUAAGUACGUAUAAGUUAUUUGGGAAAAGGGCUUUGGGCUGCUGUGAUAUAGUAUAAUGGGCCAUUACAAUGGGUUCUAUUUUGAGCAGAUUUAACAUUAAAAAUGGGGCUGAAAAUGAUCUAUUUUGGGGCUCAAAUUGAACAAAUUGCUAAGGCAUUUUCCUUCUCAAAUUAAUUUUUUGGGCUUCCUUAUCUUAAUAAUUUACAAAAAUAUACAUAUAUUAACACACUAAAAAAAUACGACGAUAAAAUAUUUGUAAAAGAAAUAAUAACUAACGAUAAUCGUUGUAAUUAGAACAAAUAACGAUACUAAUACUAACUAAAAUGAUAAUGAGAGAUGAGAUAAAAGUGAUAUCUAAUGCGACUAAAAUAACGAUAUCGAUGAUAAUAUUAAUAUUUUCAUAUAUAUGAAAAGUAGUACUACAAUAUAGUAAAAAUAUAACAAAAGUAGAUUAUUAAUGACUAGGAAGCGUAAAGAAAUAAAUUAGAGAAGAGGUGAGACAAAAUUAAGUGUCAACACUCACAACCACCGAACAACCCUUCUUCUCCACGCCUGAAACAACCAAAUCUCCACCUCCCUUAGCCACCAGAAACCAACCAAAACGACCCCAAAAGCGAACAACAAGACCAGCAGCUCAACAACAAACCAGAAACUCCGGUGAAAUCUCGGCAGCUCUAUAAAAACACGGACCCAGGAAACUCGCGAAAGGCAACCAUCACAAGCUACUGUUCACUUUCGUUUUGGUAACUCUAGCUCUGCCUAUUUUAUUUUUUUGUGAUCUUUUAUCUGCUGCUUGUGAAUGUUGAGUUGAUUUUAUUAUUUUGUUUGGUUUAUGACCACUGUUAUUUUCAUUUUUGUGUAUUCUAAUCAUUAUUAUUGCUUUUUCGGUAAAGUUUUUCUUCUCCUACCAGUUUAUUUGAUCUCUUGCUUUAAAUAGUUACAGUUUGGGUGUGGAUUUACCAUUUUUUAUACUAGUUUGGUUGAAAAUCUGAACAACGUAAAGUUUCUUUUGCUUUUGAUGAAGUGACUUUUAUUGCUUUCGAGUCGUAGCUUCGAUCCCAAUAUUCUUUCCCUCUGAUUUCGUCUCCCCUGUUAUUACAAUUAUUAUUUUUUGCUUUGUUGCUUGGCUUUGCCUUUGUUCUACAUUUUGGAAUAGUCUACUGACUCUUUCUUACUUUAUUUUCUACCUUAGUCAAUGACUUUCAAUUUGGUUUUACUUAUUUUAUAAGUUGUUGCUCUAUUUUGUUCAAUGUCUUAUUUACUUUUUUGAUUUCAUGCAUUACUCCAAGAAGUUUCCAGUAUGUUGUUGUUGGUUGGUUGUUAUUAUUUUUAUCAUUUUUUUAUUAUUCAAUAUAGCUGAUAGAUAAAUGUUGUUUGUUGCUGCCAAGUCAAUGUUAUUUCAAUGUUCAUCUUUUAAUUUAUUAUUAGUGUCGAACUUCAAGUAUGGUGAGUUAUCUUAUGUUGCUGUUGAAUUUUUAUUUAGAAUUGUUAUCUUGUGUAAGAGAUUUUGGUUCGGUAAUGAGUUUUCAUGUGGCUUGUUCACUGUAAUUAGCUUUUAAUUGGCACAUAUUUGCAAGGUCAUUAUUAGGAUUUUUUUUUUGUCAUUUGUUACCUUUAAUUGUUUUUGUUAACUUGAUAUUUAGCAUUGUUUGUUAAAAUUGUCUGAUGAAAUUUUCAUUGAUUUGCAAGGCCUUUAAUGUUAAUAAGACGGGUUUUUAUUAUUGAGUUAUUAUUUAAUUCAUUUAUUUUUAUUCAUAUUUAUUACUAACACUUUUACUAAGUGUCUUUACAGGUAUCUGGAGUUGCUUCCCAUUGAAGCUAUUCGUAAGGAGUUUGAAUUAUAUUUUCCAAAUUAUUAUUUUGUAUAUAUCGAUGUUAAGCAAACUUUAGGCCGAGUUUUAUUUUAUUACUUGUGUAUAUUGCAUGUUUGUUAUACUUGUAUAUUAUUUUUAUCUCAUCCUCAAUUUGAAAAAAAAAAUUCAGUCGGGACCCACAGUUGUGGAUUUCAAAGGAUGCUUAACACCUUUCCUUCGAAAUAACUUGAACCCCUUAUCUAGAAUUUAAUGGUUUCAUAAAUAUUUUUUAAUUGGUUUCCUAGUUUUUCCUAAAAUUAGGUGGCGAUUCCUUUAAAAUCCCCUUUUUCUUAAAAUUCUUUUAAAAUUGAUUUAAUUGUUUAUUUUUUUCAAGUCACUGUAACGUUUCUUCUUAUUUGAAUAAAGUAGGAAUAUAAACAGAAUGACGACUCUACUGGGGAUAUAGAGGUUCUAACCAUUAUGAGUUAAUUUUUUCAAAUUGAGGAGACUUUUCUUUUAUUAUGUUAUAUCUUGUAUCUUGUAUAUUUUGUUGAUUGUUUGUAUAUUGUAUUUGUUGUUUAUUUAUUAUUCAUUUAAUUGUAUGUAUAUUGUCAUUGCAUUCAUGGCAUUUUCCAACAUGUAUGUAUAGUAUAUUAAAGAACGUAUUUGCGAAAUCGCAACCGGACUUUUUUUAUACUUAGCCCUUUUUCGGAAUAAUCGACAAUUUAUUGGUUCAUCAUGUGUCCAAUGGCUGUCGUUAGUUCCAACCUAAGUUGUCCGCUUGAGUUCCCGGUCUUUCAAAAGCCACUCUUAGUCAACUAGUGUAGAGCGAAACCAAAUUUCGAAUUUAGCACAUUUUGAACUAAGUCGGCCCAACACCCAAAGCGUGUUGGGCCAUUAGAAGCCUACCUUGUGUCAAUUUGGCCCAUUGGUCAAUAAAGGACAAUCAUAUUUAUGUGUUUAAAUUUGAAUGAUGUAUACAACAUUUGGCAAAUCAUUGUCACUCAGGGUUGGGAGUUUAUUUUAAUAGCUUACUCUAGUCGAAGAAGGAUCUUUACAGGUUACCAUUUCAUCCAAAAGGUGUUGGCAUUCAGAGAUGACAAGAAGCUCAAGAGAAAGUAUCUUCCACAAAGGCCUAGUUUGUGAUGGUACCCAUGCGUGGGAUUGAUUAUUUGUAUCCUUUUUUCCCCUUAUUUGGUAAUCCUAUUUGAAUUAUUCAUAAAAUGUGUACUAAGUGUUUUGUUGGACAAUGGAUUGUUGUCAAAUGGCGUAAUACAUCCUUCAAUUCGAUAGGCCUACCCUUGUCACAAAAGGGUCACAUAUUUGUAUAGGACGCAAAAUAAUUGUUUAUAUGUUAUGUGAUAUAGUUGAGUUUGUCUUCAAUCAAAAUAGUGCUUGUGUGUUAAUUAAUUCUUUGUGUGAUAUUUUGCAUUAUUCAUUAUGAGCACGAACUAACAUUUUUACCUUUUGAGUUUUUCUUCUCUUUAAGCUAGAGGUUGAUUUAUGUUAGAAUUUGGAGGUCAUUGUUCGUCCGAAGUUGCAAGGGAUAGGAAGGCUCGUGAAAUUUGAGUUUUUAGAUUUCACCAGACAUUAAUAUCAAACCAAAAAUAUAAAUCAGGGGAGUCUCUGACUAUGAAGUACACUCAUUUAUUUUUUGUUAUUUUGCAUGUUGGCCAUGCUUUCACAUAUUUCUCAUAUUGUUGCAGGAAAACCUUCCCCGACAACAGUCGGGGAUGGUGAUAACAAUUUAUGAAUAAUUGGGAAAACAAACAGUUCCAUGAGACAUUCAAAAAAGAAUACAACAACAAGUAGUUACUGUAUAAAUUGGAAGGCCAUAUUCAACAAACAGUACAAAGGUCAACAGUUAGGAGUAUACAAGAAAUCACCCCGAGUUGUCUAAAUUUUGAAAUUGUUUUAUGCCAUAUAUGAACGAACUAUGCGAACUUGAUUCUCAUCUUGGUGAGAUACGUACGCUGCAACCCUUCUUGGGUUCGGUAUUUAUUCUUUCAAAUUUCAAAAAAAAAAAGUAAAAUAGUUUGUGCAAAUUUUCAAAGACAUAUUUGCGCGAACUACGCGUACUUGAUUCUCUUCUUGGUGAGAUACGUAGACAACCCUUCUUGGGUUGGGUAUUCAUUCUUUCAAGUUCCAAAAAAAAUUGUGCAUAUAUUCAAAGAUAUAUCUGCAUGAACUACACACACCUGAUUCUCAUCUCGAUGAGAUACGUAGGUAGUCCUUCUUGGGUUCGAUAUUCAUUCUUAAAAAAACAAUGUGUAUAUAUCGUAAGAGUCAUGUCUUAAACUUAGUUGGGACCAAUGCAGUUAGGAACAUGUAAAAAUAUUCGAUAUGAUGGAGAGGACUGACUUUGUGGUAAACUAUAAAGUCUUUUGGUACCUCUCAUUUAUAUUUUUGUGAUGCUUGAAAAUUCCAUUGCAUGCAUUCAAGAUAAGAAUAAAACCAACCUCGUGAUUUCAUGUGCAUUGUGUGGUGAGCUUUUAGAUCAAAAUUCAAUUGCAUCACACUGUUGAUCUAGAACUUGGCUUGAAUGUUAUCGAACAAAAUCCUGAGUAAUGCUUGAUUUGGGAAAGGAUUGUAGGUCUUCUUUGACCCAAUUGUGCCUUUCAAAACCUACCAAAUGACAUUGAUCUCUAGUUUUUCCCACUUUGAGCCUGAAACCUUUCUUUGGACAACCACAUCUUAGCCGCUACCCCUUUUGAGUGCUUACAUGCACUAUCCCUCUCUUGGCCGAACAUUCUUGAGUGCACUAAGAGUAUGCAAAUUAUAACAGAAGAUCCAUGUUUGAAGUUGUCAAAGGCAAAAUAUAUUAAGUCUCCCAAUGUCAAGGAAACAAAAAUGACUUCUAGUGAAAGAAUAAAAAAAGAAGAAGAUAAAAACACCCCUACAAAGCCAAUGAAAGACGAGAAGGAAAAUACUCCAAUAAAAGAGGAGAAAAAUUCAAAAGAAAGGGGUGAAAUAAAAGAAAAGCUCCAAGAAAUAAGGACUCAGAAGAAGUCGAAACAAAGGGAAAAAAAGGGAAAAGCUCUAAAAAAUUAGAAUUCAAAAGACGUCGAAAAAGGGGAGACAAUGAAGAGGAUCAGACGUCGAAGUUGUAUCAAGCGUCAAAAGCACAAAUUCAUUGUGACGCUCAAGAAGGAAUUAAGUCACUCUUAUCCCAAAUAUAUAUCCUACCCAUCCCUAAGCCUACAUUACAUGCCAAUGACAAGCCCUACAUGAUCUCAUUCCAAAUGUUCUCACAUUAGUGGAGAUUUACACAGGAGUCAAGCAUAUGGUAUCACAAUUGCAUGCAUUGGACAUACUUGUGAGUGUGAGUGCACUUCAAAAAAUGUCCUAAAAUAAUAUGCUUAAAAUAUGUGUGAAAUAAGACUUUUAUUGAUGAGAAGGCAAUUGAAACAUGAGGAUUGAUACACUUCAAAACCUUUGUUUGAAGCAAGAUGAACAAAUCUUGUUGAUCCUUAAGUAUGUUUGAGGUACCACUUGAAGCUGUAGGAAUUACCUUGAAUUUAAUCUUAGAUAGAAAAGAAAAAAGAAAUAAGAAGGAGAGAUUUACCUGCAAUCCUAAUUGUUGGUACUAAUUGUAGUCAAGAUCAUUUUUUGGUCAAAUCGUCGGUCAACCGCAAGUUAGCGGGCAUUCCGAGGGCCUAACACCUUCUCGAAAUGUACAUUGAACUUCGAACCCUUUUAUUUUCAAUUGAUUUUAUCUGUUUAAAUCUUUUGAAAACCUUAAGUUUUUUCUUGAUUUUUACUAAAAAAUUAAGUGGCGACUCUGUUCUUUUGAAAUUCGAUUUCUCUUAAAUCAUAAGUUUGAUCGAUUUUUCAAAAACUUAGUCAUUUUUAUUUUAUUUAUAUUUUCGAGUAAAACACUAUGUUGUGACUGCUUAUAUAUAUUGUGUUUACUGGAAUAGCCGCGUGAUCCUACCAGUACCCUGUGGUUGUGUACUAAUACUGCACUUGCUCGUUCUUUGUUGAGUACAAGAUAUCUUUAGGCGGCUAUUGAUAGACCUCAAUUAGGAGAUCAGUGAUCGAGAUCGGAUUUCAAGGGUGAGCCAGUUCUUUCAGGCUGCCAUGGAGUCCUUCAUUUUGCUUAGUCCAUUCUUUUCGGACUUAGACAUAUUUUAGUAGUUUGCUUAUGUUUGGUUGGGGUUGUACUCCUUUUCCUUAGACUUGUUGAACUUUAGAUGUUUUGGUACAAUGACUUUCAGGUUCUAGGGGUUGUUUUCCGCAAUAGCUCAUUAGUUGUUUGUUAAGAUUUUCAGAGUUUAUGGGAACUCUGUAUUAGCUAUUUAGUUAUUUAAACCUGUUUCCGUAGUUUUAAAUGUUUAGUUUUUGGUUAAGUUGCUUAGUUGGGUUAUAGUUAUGGUUCUCCUACCAGAGAGUUAGUGUGGUGUCACUCACGACGGUCUAGGUCGUGACAAAGAGCUAGAGAGAACUAAGUACUUUCAGAUCACCACAAAGUUUUUAAUACACUCCAUGAUAAUAUUAUAAAUGAGGAUACAUAAAUAAUGUUAAAAUAUGUCAAUCAAGAAGAAAGUUGAGUUAUCAGCCUUAAACUUAGGUUUGGUAAAGAGUCUAAUACUUUAACCAUAGCAGUUGUCUACUAGUUUGUUUAUGAUUAUUAAAAUUUAUAUGAGAACAUUUUCAUUCAUAUUAUCUGCUUGCUUGCAUCACUCCAAAAAAACAUAACACCAACCACAUUUAUAAAUUAAACUGUAUUGGUUUAUAUUAACAACAUACCCAGUGAAAUCCCACUAAAUAGGUCUGGCGAGGGUAGAAUGUAAGCAGACCUUACCACUACCUCGUGGAGAUAGAGAGGCUAUUUCUGAAACUAAUACAUUAUUUUCUACUUUAAAGACUUACGAGAAUAGAUCUAUGAAUGCAGGUAAUUAAAACAAAUGGUAACCAUGAUCUGAGCUAUCAACGUCUGAGUUGGUACUACCUUCAUGACUUUCUUUCUUCAUCACUUUCAUUUCUUGAACUGUACUUGUAUUACUCUUAGGACUUCUAUCUUUCAUCUUCUUAUGAUCCUCUCUUUGUUUUCUCCAUUCACUCUUCCUUUUCCAUUGUCUCACUAACAAAAUACCCAAACUUAGAAACACAGCCAUAGUUCACCCUCCUCCUAUGAUCACAACUUCAAUUAGCACCCAAUGAUCCCCUUUUCCUUGUGGCAAUAUUGACCAUAUUGCAGCUAUUUAAGCUGAUGCCAUAAAUAAUGUAGAAAUCCACAUUACUUUAUGUGUUGCCACCAUCUAUGUCUUAAUAAGGACUUGGCCCAGACGUAGACUUACGCCGUCUGAACAUUUGAAAAUAGAGACCAUCCUUUUAGUUUUACUUUCACAUUUUUAUUUUAUUUGAUUUUUAUAUUAAAAUAAUUCUUUUACUUGUUUAUUUUAAUAAGUUCAAAUAAAUUAAUUAUUUUUUAAAUCAUGAUUAUUCUUAAUAUUAAGUAACUAUAUAAUAUAAUAGUAGUUGAAUUAAAAUUUUGAAAUAUAAUUAAUAAAAACAAUUUAAUAAAAUAAGUUUAGGGAAAUAAUAUAAAAUUAAUAAAGAUCAAGUAAAAUGAAACGAAUAAAAAGAGUAUACCAUUGUUUAGCAUGAAAAUUUAAUCGGGCUUUUACCGAAAUUAUGUUACGAUAUAGUUAGACAAUUAUGAGCUAUGAGAAUAGUUAAGUAGCAAUGAUCAAAAUUGUAUAUGUAUAAAAAAAGGAAAAAUUGUACAUUAUAGCAAACUAUUAAUUCAAAAUAAAGGUUAUAACUGUAGUUUCAUUUUAUUCUAAUUUGUAGCAAAUACAUCGCCAUUCUCGCCUCUCUCCUGAAUCUCGCCGUCACUCUCAAUUCUCUCCCUCGCCAAUGUAUAAAUUGUGUUUGUGUUUGUGUAAAGUGAGAGAGUGUGUAUAUACAAAUACAAAUACAUAUCUCUCUGUCCUAUACACUUGUAAUUAUACUAAUACAAAUCUUCCCCUGCCCAAUUUUCUUUUGUCAUUCUCUCUCUCUCUCUCGUUUUAUACAAACACAAAUUAUACAAAUACAAUGUAUAAUUUGUGUUUGUAUAAAGCGAGAGAGAUAUUCGAUAUACAAAUACAAUUGUCUUAACUCAAUUCAAUUGUAUACAAAUUCAAAUUUAAUGUAGAUAUACAAACACAAUCAAUGAUACAUAUACAUAGUAGUUACAUAUAUACAAUUAUCUAACCGCUAUGCAUAUACAAUUCAUCUCUCUCCACUCUCUGCCUCUCUCCUCUUUCUCCUAAUCUCGCUAACACAAAGAACAUAUAUAUAUAUAUAUAUAAACACAAAUGCCCAAUUUAUACAAAUCGCCGGGAUUUUAUACAAAUUAGAUGUUCCAUAACAAACAUAAUAACAAAUUAUGUUUGUUAUGGAGCGCAAAUAACAAAACUAUAGCUAUAGAGCGCUAAUAUGAUUUUUAUGUUUGCUAUUCCUAAAAUUUACUGAGGAAAAAAUAUAGCAAUGAUCCAAGUUAGCAUAUAUAUAUAUAUGUUACGUACUAUUUUUUCCACUGUUUAUGUUGAUACGUUAAAAAACAAAAAAAUAAAUAUAAUUAUAGGUAACUUAUACAUGUCUUCGCUCUUAAGUUAUAGUAUUAAAUAUAAUAAGGCCAAACCCAUCAAUGCCUCCUAAAGUUGUCACCAAAUUUCACUUAGACAUCUUAACUGAGCGAUGUUCAUUUUAGACACCUCAUGUAGGGUCCCGUUGUGUCAUUUUGACACUUUUUACUGACAUGUCAAAGUGAGUGUGAUACAGUCAACAAUAGCUCGUGAAAGGCUUAUAGUGAAUUUUUUUUUAUUUUCUCUUCUUCUUCUCCAAUUUUCAAGUCACCAUCUCCCACCAUUUUUUCAAGCUUAAACUCCUUCAAUGGAGGUCGAAUUUUUGAUUCAAAUUCGUUUUUAAGUCAAUUUUUUCUUCUUCAUUGUAUUACUUUUCUAAAUUUACCAUCACUUCCCUCUACCUUUUUUGCUGGAUAAAUGAAUAGCAACACCCAUAUUUGAUAUUUGAUCUCUCCUUCUUUCUUCCUCUCCCUCUUCUCUUCCCACAAAACAUGUAACAUCCCAGAAUUUUUUUGAGCUAAGACUUGAACCAUUCUUCGUAGUGAGUGAGAUUUUUGCAAGGAAUUUAAAAUUUCUUGAGUAUUAAGGUCUCUAGAUGUAGCACCUUGAGUUCCAAGAAGAACCAAAGAGAAAAGCAUUCAAGUCAUUCCUAGUUUUUCUUAAGUUUUGGGUCAACUUCAAACGAUUAUAACUCCUAGUACAGGAUGAGUUAGGUGAGCUGCAAGAUAGAAAAUUAAAGCCCUUCGAGUCCUCUUUGCAUUGCCACCGAGUUUACUCAAUUUCGAGCUCUGAAUAAAAAGUUAUAACGGAUUUACUAACGUCGCGCAAACCUUGCAGCAGCUCCGUGACGCGGAGCCAACACGGACCUCACUGCCUGGUGAAAGAUCUUUCCGACUCCCAGCUUAUUUUAAUUAUUUCUUUAGGGGUAUUUUAGUCCUAAAAACCCUUAGGAGGUCAUCUAAAUUGCCCUAAAUGGGUAGAAAAUCAGUUUUCUUAAAUCUAAACCCUCUCAUUCACUCCAAAGAUUCUAUGCUCAAGAAAUUCAAGAAACGCUAAGACUAGGGUUCAUCUCUCAAGAUUUUCCUUCAAGUGCUGCAAGAAGAUGGUUCUUUCAAGUAUGUAAGCUUCCAUAGUGUUGGGUUUGUUCACCCACACGUCAAUCAUGUUAAUUUCAGCUUUAAAUUACGUUCUAAAAGUCGAAGCUUUGAUGUUCUUGUUAUGUAUUCAUGAAUUUUCUUUCGUUCUUGAAUUGGGCUGAGAUUGAAAAGUUCUUAAGGUUAAUGUGUCGAUUUAUAGAGUUUUUAGAGUUAGAUUAUUGUGUUCUUGUGCUGGAUAUUUAACUUUAAAGAGAGAUUGAGAAAAAGAAUCGAAGUUAGGCGAAUUGGGGUUAGGAAAAGAAAAAGAAACUUCGUUGGUCGAAAUUUGGAAUCCCCUCCACAUCGCGCAGCUACUUCUCAGAUUUGGGAAUUUCUGUUUCGCGUCGCAGAGCUGACAUAGAGUGUUUUGCCUCAAAAGUUGUUUUCGAAACCAAAAUUUAAAUGUUUCUCCGCGACGCGGAGCCACCUUCAGAUAUUGACUUUCAAUCUUUUCUCAUGUUUAGCUAUCUAAAAUCAUUUCUAAACAUCAUGAGACCUUUUCUAUCACAAAUCACAACCUUGAAUUCAUAAAUCACAUUCAUGGUAUAGUUAAGGUUAACUUUUUGAGAAUUCUUUCGAACAUUCUAAGAAAGUCCUUUAAGUCUUUUGAGGAGUCUUCUACAAAUUCUAAUAACUUGUUUCAAGACUUCAGCAAGUGAGUAUGAGAGUGAGAAUAAUGUAUUCAUGAGUCUACCUUGUCAUCAUGAGAUCUUUCUUAUCAUGAACUAUAUCUCUUGAAUUCAUAAUUCACAUUCAAGAGAGAGUUAAGAGUAGAGUUCAAAAAAGCCUUUGAGUUCAAUUGUGAAUCCUUUGAGGUCAACUAUAGAUUUGAACUAAGUUUUGAGGAAGUAAGUCAGAGUAUAAGAAGAUUUGUAUACAUGAGUUCCAUAUAGUUAUGUAGACCAUUGAGUCGAGUUGUUUCAUUCCCAUAAUUUCGCAUGAACUUCGUAAGUUGAGCAUCUUUCAGAAAAGUGGUAUCUUCAAGCUCUAAGCUAAGUGUUGAGUUCCUAAUCCCUUUUGAGAAGCAUCUUUGAGUACUUGAGUUGAAUAUUUCAUGCUCAUAAUUCUGCAUGAAUAUUAUAAGUCGAACAGUCUUGAGAUAAGAAGUACCUUUAAGUCAUUUGAGUUGAGUAGUUCAUGCUCAUAAUUUCCGUCAUGUACUUUGAGUUGAGCAUUCUUGAAAUGAGUAGUAUCAUUGAAGUUCUUGAGUUCUAAGUAUUUGAGUUCUAUCUAUGGUUAUUGAAAACCUUGCAUUGAGUCAUUCAUGCAUGCCCAUAAUUCGGCAUGAACCAUAUAUUUAAGAAGUAUUUUAUAAACGUUUUAACUUUGUUUUAAGACUUAAGUUUACUUUAGCAGUUACCUCUUUAAGAAUCCUUUUCAAGAACUUAUCACAACAUAGAGAGAGAAUUGUUACUUGAGCAUUGAAUUAGAUAUUUUUGGCGUAGUAUUGAGCACCGAUAUGGGGAUGCGAGUUCAUAUUAACUCAAGUCUCCAUAAACCAUGUAGCCAUCAUGGGUAGAAAAGGGUCAUACUUUUUAGAUGAAUCCUUUUCGCAUAGACUAGUGGAUCCACUUAGUAGUUCAGGUCCUAUACCACGACAAGGUAUAGGAUGUCCCGGGCAGCGUGUGGCUAAUAACGCUGUAUCAUCACUAUAGUUCUUAAGUGAUGGUUGUCGGUUAGAGAAACUCCCACAAUAGUAUUUGCAUGGUUCCUCAAGGGGUUUUGCUUAGUAUGAAUGGGGUGUAUGGGACUUCAUUCAUGCAUUGCACAAGUAGACUUUGAGAGGGUAGCAUGGUAUGCCUUUUAUGAUAUUAUGAUUAUGAGUUAACAUCCUGUUUUAAACAAUUUUCCUUUUCUUUAUUAUUGCACUUGUUUUAAACUACUUUAUAUUGAAAUGAGUUCAGUUAUGUUGAGUUGAGUUGAGCCAGGUAAGUUCUUCAGUUUCAUUCAGAUUCUUUUCAAGCUUAUGUUAUGCUUUAGAAUUCCCCUUACAUGCUCGUACAUUCCACGUACUGAGCCAUUUGGCCUGCAUCUUUUCAUGAUGCAGAUCCAGGUAUUCAGGAUCAUCUACAGAAGUUUCGUUGAUGUCACAUGGAGUUCAAGUUAGCUAUGGUGAGCCUCCUUUCUUCCGAAGGAUUCCAUUUACUUUCAGUUGUUAGGAGGUCGUGGGUCUUGUCCCGACUUCCAUCAGUGUCAUUUAGAGGCUUCAUAGAUAGACAGUAGAGUGUUAGAAGUCUUCAUUUAUUUUGUUAAAUGUUUUAAAGACUAAAGUUGCCUUUUUAUGGCGAGUUGUAUAUAUUUUAUUAUACAAAGUUUUCUUUGGACUUAAAGUUUGUAUUUAAGUUUUAUGAACUUUUAUUUCAGUUUUAAGCUUUUGUAUGCUUGAAUCAGUUUUCCGCUUGUAGUUAGUCGGGAUGAGGGUUCACUUGGGGACCAACAAUGGAUCUCGAGUGCCGGCCACGUCCAGGGUGUAGGCUCGGGUCGUGACAAAACAACACUAAAAAGAAAGAAAAAUAGUAAAAGAAAAGAAAAAAGCACUAAAGAGAUAUAGAGUGUGUGAAAAAAGACGAUUUCCGAUUGAUUUCACCUUUUCGCCGGAAAAAAUGGAUAUCAACACUCAUAUUUUAUACUUUUUGUUUCUUUCUCUCCUUAUCUCCCUCCUCCUCUCUCUUUCUCUCAAAACAACACUAAAAUAGAAAGAAAAAAAGAAUCUAAAAGAGUUUUAAAGAGCAAAUUAAGAAAAAAUUGUUGGGUAUAGUAGAGAAGACAACUACCAUGAGGGGAGGGGCUAAAUUGUUUUAUUUAGAAUAAUAUUUUUAUUUUAUUUACUAAAUAGAUUUUAAAAUAAUUUUUAACUUAAAAUAACACAUGUAAUCAUUUAAUUCGUUGUUUGUCUUGUCAUCAACGAGUGUAUUACACUCUCCUUCACCUUUUUUCUUAUUGUAAAAGUGUCAAAAGAAUAUAGCGGGACCCUACAUGAGGUGUCUAAAAUGAACAUCGCACAGUUGAGAUGUCUAUGUGAAACUUGAUGCCCAACUUUAGGGGCCAUCGAUGGAUUUGGCCAUAUAAUAAUAAUAUCAUCUUCAAGACAUGAUGAAUGUAUUAUCACAUCAUCCCUUGAAUACCUAAAUCGCAAUAAUAAUUGGAAAAAAAAAUUUCCACAGCCGUCAACGUCAUAUACAAAGUUAGGUGUUACGAAAUAAUAAGAAUUAAAUGUGUCCAAAAAAUCAAUUUUACGUGCUCUUUUGACAUGAUGAAAAUUAUUUUCUCAUCUCCGAUCAGUAUUUUUUUGUACUUUGAUGAAGCUAAUAUCUACUUUAAUAUGUCAACUACAUUUGUCUAUUCUAUGAAACUUGCUCCUACCGACACCAUUAAUUAGGAGUCCAAUUCCCUUUUAAUUAAUUAUGACCUCAUACUCAAAUCCAACACGCCAUUGAUAAUACACUACAACAAAAAAAGAUAGAUUUUCCUUUUAGCGAUAAUAUAUAUUGUCAUAAAAAUAUUUAGUGGUAAUUGAAUUAAUGUUAUUAUAUUCUAAGUUGCUAAAACAAUAAAUAUAUAGAAUAGUGGUUAUAAAUAUCCAUAUUAUAUUAUUGCGCUAAAAUAAUUAUUGCUAAAUCAUUUAUUUGUGUAAGUAAUAAAUAACUGAUUUUAGUCAAGAACAACUUUUAUCUAUGCUUAUUAAAUAGAGAUAAGUAAUAAUUUUCCUAGAAUAAAAGAGGGUACAAUUUAUAUAUACCUAAAUAAGCAAAUUUAGAAUCCAUCACUCAUAAAUUCAAAAUCCAAGUUAAUUACGCCUCAGAUAUAUAGAAGGUAACAAGUAUAUGGUACUUAUGAUCAAUAGCUAACC